UUUUUUUUUCUAUUUGAUGGGGAUGAUACUCGGCCAUGGAUGUUGUCAUUCUUGCUUGGUGUUGAUGUUGUGUUGAUGAGGUAUCAAGUUAUUUUAGUAACCCAUGUCAAAAUUAUGAAAAUCAUGGUAUGGUGUCUUGAGCAUUCGGCCAUGGUAGGAAGUAGAAGAGAAAUAUGGUUGUUGUUCAUGUUAUUUGGAUGAAAAGAAAAGGGGUUAGUAGUUAGAUGAAGUAGAGUCUAACAAAUGAGCACAUAUGUGCAUUAGUUGCUAGAUGGAGAAAAUUGGCUAGCAAGUUAUGUACUAAGGCCGAAUAUGAUUUUGAACAUUAUUGAGUAAUGUAUGUGUUUUGAAUUGAUGGAAUGGAGAGGAUGCUUUAAUUGUGUUAUGCACAAAUAUAUGUUAAAUUAAGGUUUGCUAAGCUAGCUAUUAAGGUGAAGUGCAAAUGUUAGUAUUUGAUUACUAGUGUAUAUAUGUGUAUUAGCCGAGUUUUGAACUUGAAACAAAAUGGUAUUUAGUCAAUACAAGUGACCAUAUUUGUAGAAUGUAUUAAGUAUACAAUCGGCCUCAACAUAGACAUGCAUAUUCGGCCACAUGAAUGAAUACAUAGGUUGAUGUGUACGUUCGGCUAUAGGUAAGCAUAUUGAUGGCUUUAUCUUGACUUAGAAAAAUCGGCUAAAGGGGAAUAUUGGCAAACAUGUUGAAAUUGAUUCAUGAUUUCAUACAUAUAUGACUCUAAUGCCUAAUAUACAUAGGCUAAGUACCUUGAGUUUCUCUUUGAUGUUCAAAAUGAUUAAAUCAAUUUAUUUGUUAAAUUAAGCUCAAGAACAAAGGGGAACUAAAUCCGAUAAAGGAAAGGAAAAGGUGAUCGAAUAGCCGUUGAAAUCGUUCGACAACAUCCGAGGUAAGUUUUCGAGUAAUGGAACUUAGAUUAUGAUUCGAUUAGAUCAUGUUAUGAGCAAAUCAAAAUCAUGUUCUUUGUAUGUAGCUAUUGAGCCGAAAAUGAUAAUUCUUGAUAAGUGACUUUUGUUUGAAUUCUAGUUAUGAAAAUGAAAUAUAGAUGUGUCAUGAUUUAUUGAUAUGUGCAUGAAUAUUCGGAUGAUAACCGGGCUAAGUCCCGAAGGCAUUUGUUCUAGUGACUAAUUCCGGGCUAAGCCCCGAAGGCAUUUGUGCUAGUGACUAAUUCCGGGCUAAGCCCCGAAGGCAUUUGUGCGAGUUACUAUAUCCGGGCUAAGUCCCGAAGGCAUUUGUGCGAGUUACUAUAUCCGGGCUAAGUCCCGAAGGCAUUUGUACGAGUUACUAUAUCCAGGCUAAGUCCCGAAGGCAUUUGUGCGAGUUACUAUAUCCGGGCUAAGUCCCGAAGGCAGUUGAGCGAGUAGCUAUAUCCGGCUAAAUCUCGAAGGUACUUGGUUUGGGAAUGAGCGAUCUUUCUGUAAUAAUUUAAAUUAAUACGCUCGUAAAAUCCCAACGAUGAGGUAUGUUUCGUAUAUGCAUUAGAAUAGUUGAUUCCUUUUAAAUAGUAUUCGCUUAGUCGAUUAAUAAGCUUCCGACCUUUGGUUAAGUUGAUCCCUUAUGUAUGAAUAUAAGGGUUGGAAAUGUGAAGUAGGUAUGAUUUUGAGAAUAUGUGUAUAUGAAAUUAUCCGUUUAGUCAUAUGAAUGCUAUACUUCAGUUGUGCCUAAUUUCAUUGCUCAAAACUUACUAAGCAUUAAAUGCUUAUUCCGUUUCUUCGAUUCUCUGUUUUAUAGAUUUUGGUUCGUCAGCUAUCGAACUCGGGAGUGUCAAAGUCGAAGUCGCCCACACUAUCAAAGCCCUUUUGGUACUCUUUUAGUUGAACUCUGAUAAUGGCAUGUAUAGGGCUGCCCUUUUGUUGUUAGUCAAGUACUUUGGUAUUGUAUAUAUUUGGAUAGCCAUGCGAAAAUGGCUUAUAUAUUUUGAGCAUAGCGUUAUAAUCGUUUUGUAUAUAUAUGGUUGUUGAGAGGUGUGGAAAUGCUUGGCAAUGAUUAGCCAUUGGAAUGGUUAAUCACGAUCAUAUUUUUGUGCUAUGUAUGUAAAAGGGCUAGUUGAAUCAUGGAAAUUAUGAAAUAGGUAAAGUCUACCUUAAAAACAGAUACCGACAGCAGCAGUGAUGUGAAUUUGAAAAAUCACUAAAAAUAGUAGGAAUAGAAUUAAAUUGUGAAUAAAUUAUGUAAUCGAACCUUGAUGAAUCUAUUUUCAUAUGAAAGUAACGAAAUGAUCAUAUGAACCAUAUUUUAUGAGAUGUUUAAGUUUUCGUGAAACAGCACCAGAGUAAUUUCUGGAUCCCCUGUUCUGAAUUUGGAAAUUCAUUAUAAAUUAACCAGAGAUAAUUAGAAUUCAUAACAUAUAUGUAUAGAUUCCUUUUCAAGUCUAGUUUCUUUAGAAACAAACGGAAUAAGUAUUGAAGCCCUGUAAAGGGAGAUAUCUAAGUCGUAAUGCAUGAAGGUCAGAGUAGUAGAACCCUGAAAUAGGGGAGACUUUAACUAAUAAACUGUACUAAUUGGCUUGACCAAAAAUUAUAGAAAAAAAUUUUUAGAUGGACAUAUGAGUCUAGUUUCAGGAAAAAUUUACAGAACUGGUUUUCGAGUUUUGAACCUUGAGAUAUGAUUUUUAAGGUGACAGUGACGCAGUUAGCCAGCUUGUCUGGAAAUUUUAAAAUGGACUGUGCAAAUAAAUAAAUUAAGUCUGUUUGCACCUCGUGUUCGACUCCGGCAACGGUCUCGGAUACGGGGUGUUACAAAAUGUGCACAUGUAAACCAUUUAACCUAUUAAAAGUAAUCAUGCUUUAUAAUUCUAUUACAUCAAUAUCUUCAGCCUAUUCAAGUAUUCGAACCAAGCUAUUAUACAUCAAGACCAAAAUAUACAUAUAUUUCAUAAUUACAAAGUUUGAAUUAUAUGGCCAUCAAUUCUAUAACAUUUGAAUACCUAAGUCAUAAUUAAUCAUAUUUCAAUUCAUAAAUCGAGCUUACAGUAAGACAUCCACUAGUGCAAAUUUACUUCUGUCUAAAUACUAAACAUACCAUUUUACAUAUCUAUGUACAUUCGCAUAUUAUACCAUUCCACCCCAUAUCACACGGCAUAAUAUUCAUUAGCAUAAAAGAUAAUAGCUAGCAUUACAACAUGGCCAAAUAUACUUCUUUUACAUUGCAAAGUCAUGCGCAUAUUACAUAUCAAUGUGGACCAUUUUUUAACACAAAUGUCAAGUCAUAUCAUACCUAAUUCGCAAGCCAAAUAACAUGUCUAACCAUCAUAUAUUCAACCAACCUAGGAACCAUUUCUAAACAUAAUUACCAAAUCAAAACAUACCAAAAUUUAUAUGCUAGCAUCAUGACAAAAUUACAAGUACACAACCAAUUCAUUUCUCACCUAUUCGGUUAUCAAAAUUAACCACUAAAGUCAUACCAAUUCCACCAUUCAAUCUUAAGUUAAAUUUACCAUUGCAUAACCGAAUACAAAUAUCAACUUGUCACUUUAUGACUAUCCAUUUAGCUCACAAAACAUACCUAAUACAUAGUCAUUAUUUACUAAUAAUUAACCGAAUCAAAGUAACCAUAUAAUUUGCCAUUAACACUUUAUACACAUAACAAAAAAUAAAACAUUAAACUAAUCAAAUUGACCUUUAAAAAUCAAACCACAAACAAACAUAUCAUAUGCAUAUGUAUUUAAUUUAUCUAUCAUUAAUCGAAUACAUUCAUCAACACGUAUAUCUUUAACAUUUUUAGCAAAAUAAACUCGUCCAUAAUUAAACAUACUAAACCUCAAAUAUUAACAAACCAUAUCAACUUCACUUCCUCUAUAUGCCAUAACCAAAUUUACCUUAAUACCAACUCACAUAACAAAACCUUAAUAAAGCAUAUCAAACAAGAUUCAUAUAUAUAUAUAUACUUAUAUAUAUAAGCCAUAGCCGAAACACUAAAACCAAACAUAGCCAUCAAUUGUUCAAAGCAUAAAAUCCAAGCUUAACAAAAUAAUAAGCCAUUUUCGCAUGGCUCAUAUUUACAUAUCCCAAAAUCAAGUAUAAACUAGACUAUACAUGCCAUGGGUUUAAGUUCAAACUUAUAAAAAUACCGAAACAAUCGAUAGUUUGAUAGAUUUCGUUAACGAUCCCUGAGCCCAUAACUAGCCUCCAAAAUCUAUAAAACAAUAGCAAACAUACACAUAUAGUAAGCUAUCACAGCUUAGUAAGUCAUAAGCAAAUAAACAACUCAAUGACAUAAUCAACUCAAUUUAACCAAACCAAUUUAUGCUAUCAUAAUCACAUUUAAUUUCAAGCUUACAGCUUCAUAUACAACAUAUACUUUCAUAUAUAAACUUUAUCUUGGCGGAAUAUACAUAUAUCUAUUAUCAAAGUAUCAUUCAAUUUCAAAGACAUAAUAUCAUUAUAUAACCAAAUAUAUAUAAACUCAUAUGCAUAUGCUCAUGAAUAAAACUUUAAUAUCACAUACUUAUACAUAACAUGUGGCCGAAUAUACUACACAAAUACACAAAUAUUUACAUUAGUAUCAUGAAUAAUUUGCAUCACGUAUCAAAUAACCAACAUACCUUAUUUUCAAAUAGGUAUCAACUAUCACAUACCUGAUCACUUUAGCUCGUUUUACACAUUCGAUCACAACUUAUCAUUGCUCGUUGAACCAUUCAGAAUGAAAUAGGAUAAUCAGAUAAUCACACAUAUCGUACAAUGCCAACGUCCCAGACGUGGUCUUACAUGUAAUCACAUAUCGAUGCCACUGUCCUAGACAGGGUCUUAUACGAGAACACAUAUUGAUGCCAACGUCCCAGACAUGGUCUUACACAAGAACACAUAUUAGAAAUCCUAUGUCAUGACAUAUAUAUCCUAGCUAUUCCUAAGGUUCAUACGGGGCUUUCGAAUGUCGUAUCUCUGUCGAAUCGAAUUCGUAAACAUAGCUCCCAAGCAUAUACAUAUUCGGCUUUCACAUAUAUACUCUCACAUAAUUAAUUUCAGCAUAUAAAAUCUAUUUAUUUAAAAUUAACAACAUCUAUUUCCUUAUAAACUUACCUCGGACAACGAUAAUCAAAACAAGACGACUAUUCAACAACUUUGGUUUUUCCUCGAUCCAAAUCCGAUUGCUUUGGUUCUUGAUCUAAACAGAUUCAAAUUAAACUCAUUCAAACAUAAUUUCAUUCAAUUUAGUCCAAAAACACAUAAAUGAGAAAAUUACCAUUUUGCCCCUGACAUUUUACACUUUUUACAAUUUAGUCCAAAUAGCACAAAACACAAAACAUGCAAAAUUUGCACACAUCAUGCUUAGGCCGAAUGUUACCCAUGUUCAUACAAGUCCAUAUAUUUCAUUUAUUUCACAUUUUAGUCACUCAAUUUAUUAUUUUUUCAAUUUAGCCCUAAUUACUCAAAAUCAUCAAAAAUUUCAAUACAGAACAUAUUAAUCCAAAACAUAUCUUUCAUAAUUCAUCAUCUAACAUCACAAAGCUCAAUUAUUCAUCACUGGCAUAACUUAAAAUAUUCAUCAAAAUGAAAAAUUCAAGCAUGGGCUUUGUACAUUACACUGCAACGAUCUCAAAAACGUAAAAAUUAUCAAAAACGAGUUAGUUACAUACCUUAAUCAAGCUAAUCUUUGGCCGAACCCUUAAAAGCUUUAUUUUUCUUUCUUUAUUUUUGUUAUUCUGUCAAACCAAGAAGAUGAACACUUAAGUUUUGAUUUUAUGUUUUAUAUUAUUAUAACUUAUUAAUCAUUUUAAAUAUAUAACCUUUAUAUUAAAAUUUUAAACUAUUAUAAUUUAUGGUUAUAAUCGUCCACCUUAUGCUAUCAUGGUAAUAUUUCAUUAUAAAUACCUCCAUUUUUAAAGACAACAACAAUUCGGCUCUUAAAAACUAAACCAUCAAAUUUUCAUUUUACGCGAUUAAGCCCUUUUAUUAAAUCGGGCAAACAAACGAUAAAAUUUUCGAAUGAAAUUUUCACACACAUAAAUUCACACCUAAUAAACACAGAAAUAAUUUUUAAAUAUUUUUCUGACUCAGAUUCGUGGUCCUAAAACCACCGUUCUGAAUAGGUUCUAAAUCGGGCUGUUGCAAACAUAGAUAUCCAUUUAUAUCAAACAUUAUAUCAUAACCCAAAACAGUACCAAAUUAUACCAAUUCACAUAAGUUCAUCACAAUUUCAUAUACUUUUUUCAAACUACUUGUAUAUACCAUUACCAUUUUAGCCAUAUACCUUUAGAGUUUAUUAAAUCUGGUUCAUUUUCAUUUUCCUAUUUCAAAAUUCAAUUUUAACAUUUCGUCUGAUAGAACCUUAGUAACACGAACUCAAACAUGUGAGUGAACUACACCACACCAAAGCACUAGAGAAUGAAUACUCGAUUAUCUGUAACAAAUAUAUAUACAUAUACAUACACCACACCACACGAACUCAAACAUGUGCAAUGUCCAUAAGCAUCAAAUGUAUAUACAUAUACAAAUACAUCUCUCCACCACACCAAGGUCUCCGAAGAGAGAUUGAAUACUCAAUGAUUCGCAACAAAUGAUGGAUCCUAAAAUGACAUAUCAUAAUCUCCACAUCAUCAACAAACUCGUACAUUCAUAUUUUCACAAACAUAAACUGUGACAUUACAUAUCAAUUUAUGAAAUUCAUCAACUGAAUUUGAAUAUGGAUCACACAUAUAAUUAAUGAUGCAUUUAGUGAUAUUUUUAAUUUUUCUAGUUACCAAUCAAUAUAUUUAGCAUCGUUCACAUAUCACAACUCAUAUCAAUUCAUUUACAUUUCCUAGCCAAGUAUGUUAAUUUCCACUAAACCUUUAACACAAUUUCAAGUAUAGAUAAAAUGAAAUUAAAUACAAGCAUACCCAUCAAACAAGGAAGGGUAGUAAGUUCCAUAAAAACUUACAUUUCAAAACACAAUAUGGGUAUAUUUCUCACAAUUUAUUCCACAACUUUAGCUUUUCCUCUACAAGUUCCAUUUUUAUCAAAUUCAUACUCUAUACAAAUAUAUAUAUACAUACCAAAUCAAUAUCAUAUAUUAACACAUAAUAGCCAUUCAAUGGCUCACCAACAAUGAUGUCAUGAGAUUCAUGAUCUUAAUUAAUCCCCUUUAUUAGUACACUCAUAUUUUUCAUUUUAUUCAAUUUAGUCCAUGAACUCGAAAUAAGCAUAUUUUUUGAUUCCUAGCUUUGGAUCAAAAUUUGAUUUCACAUUAUUUCAUUAAGGAACCUGUACUUUCUAUUUAUAGCAUAAUUUCAUGACAAAUUUUUCAUUUAUUCAAUUUAGUCCCUAAUAUUACAAAGCUAAUAACAAGUUUAUUUAACUUUACAAUUUAGCCCUUAUCGUGAUCUAAGCUUAAUAACUACCAAAUUCAAGCCUAAUUCAUAAAGUUAUCAACAAUGACAACUUACUAAAAACUCAAAAAUUAAACAAAUUAAUACAUGGGCUAGCUAAAUCAAGCUCUCAUGAUCAUAAAUCUAUAAAAAUUACAAGAAUAAAGGCUUGGUUUUCUUACCAAAAUGAUGGUUGAAUGUUAAAGUUCAACCAUGAAUGUUUUCUUGGUUUUUCUUCUUCAAUGGAUGGUGAAAUGAGAAAGAUGAUGAUCGGUUUCAUCUUUUUCCACUUUUUUUAAUAUUUAUACUAUAUUUAAACUUAAUUAACCUAAUUUAAUUAACUUAAUUAAGCUUUAAUCAUAUUGAUUUUAUUAUUAAAUAAUCUAAGUGGCAAACAUCAUCAAUGUCCACUAUCUCAUGAUGGGAAAUGGUUUAAUAACCAUUUUGGCCCUUUGGUUAAUUACAACCUAGAUCCUCAAGUUUUUUCUUAAUUAAACUCAAUAGCGAUUAGACUUUUACAAUUUAGUCCCUAAGUUUUAAUUAACUAUCUUUUCGGUUAAAUUACUUAAUGAAUCUUUACUAUAUUCUCAUAUUAACUAUGAAAAUAUUCUUAUUUUAUAUUUACAAACUCAGUAAAUGUUCAUAUAAAUUUAAUUUAAUUAAUAUAAUUCAUAAAAAUAAUAAAAAAUUUAUAUCUAGAAAUUUUUAAUAUUAUAAUUAAAUGCUAAUAAUUUAGUAACAUAUAUUAUAAAUAUAUCUAAUAGUAUAAUUAAUAUAUUAUUUAUAAAAAUAUGAUUUAUUUCUUAAUAACUUUGUAAAUAUUAUGUCAAAAAUAAUAUUUGAAAAUAAAUAAUUUAACAUUUUAUAUUUAAUAAUAAAAUCAUUAUUUAACAAUAAAUUUAAUUUUCUAAAUUUAAAAAUAAAUCUAAAAACCAUAUUUAAAAUUAUUUUAUUAUAUAUUUUUCUUUUGAAUAUAACUAGCUGGAUUCAUUUAAUAUAAAAUAAGAAAAAAUACAGUCAAACAAAACAUAACAGCAAAAGAACAACCUAACCAAAAAUAAAAAAAAUAAUAAAGAUUAAUAAAAAAUAAAUAAAUGCAAUAAUAAAUAAAACCAUUAACUUUUUAGAGACCCUAAUUGCCCUUAGUAUUCACAAUCGAGCUGAUCUUGAGAACGAGAGCCUUCAAGUUUCCCCUUCCAUUUCCUCUUUGCUCCCUUAACUGUCACAUUUCCUUAGAGGAGACCCUCUUAGUCAUUGGUCGAUUCGUUUCACCAACCAAUCGCUCUCCUUUCCUCUACCAUUUUCCUUUCGCGAACACUGGCACAUCCCCCAUCAGGUGACUCUACUCCCUCCGCUUUAAACCCUUCGUUGCCAAGACAUGCGCUAGACCAUUCCUCUCUGCUUCCCCCAUCCUCAACCUUGCUUCUUUAAUCCGAAGCCUCUACCCAUCGUCGAUCAACUUUAUCUCUUUCUUUUCUCUGGAGUUCUAUCUAGUUUUCCCUUUUUUUUUCUUUAGCCCUCACUUUUUCUUAGGUAUAUUCCUCUCCAAAGCUUUAUCUCCACCUACUCUUUCAAUUUUUUUGUUUGGUUUGUCCUAAAAGCCCACCAAAACCUAUAAAUCCAUACAUGGAAAUCUCCCUUCUGUUAAUUUCCCACCAUCCAUCACAGUUUUUUUCUUUCGAUUUGGGUUGUUUUGUUUUGUUUUCGGAAUUUCAUUAUUGGUUUUGGAACAUGUCAAAGUGGAGGAGACCUUGUGUUAAUGCUUUAAAAAUAGCAUUAUUGGAUGAAAUUGAAGUUGGGAAAGCAUUGAAUCGUAACGAUUGGGUUUUAAUUUUUGUUUAUUCUUGAUUUUUCUUCCAUAGAUAUAAUUCACAAACUAAAAUUAUGGUUAAUAUAAUGUAUUUGGUUUGGGGUAUUUUUAGGAAAAAAAAUUUGUGGCCAUUCGAUAAAAGGCUGGAAUGGCUAUUCUUUGGUUGUAACAUAGAAUGGGUAUUCCGUGAGAGGCUGAAAUAAGGUUGUAAUACUACCUGGCCUUUUCACUCAUUCAAUUAAACCAAACAAUGGAAUAAGACUAUUUCGCUGAAUAAGGUAUGAAUGGAAUAGCCAUUCAUGCCAACCAAACCUGGUGUAAGAAUCCACCAAACUUGUUAAUUAUGCUUAAGGUUAGUUUAAUUAAGUUUAAUUAAGAUUAAUUAAAAGUUAAACUAAGUAUAAAAGAAAAAAAAGGCAUUUUGCUCAUCUUCUUCUUAUUCACCGUAGCAUAAAGGAGAAAUAAGGUUUGGAAGCUUUCAAACUUUCAACCUUGAUUUGGUAUGUUCAACUAAGUCUCUUUUUUUGUAAUUUUUAUGUUUUUAUGUCAUGGGAGCCUAAUUUAGCUAGCCCAUGUACCAAUUUGUAAAACUGUUAAAAUUUUUUAAAGUUUACAUUGAUGAUUUCUUGAUGAAAUUGGUGUUAAAUUGAUAGAUUUUAAGCUUAGAUGUGAAAAAAGACUAGAUUGUAAAGUGCAAAUUGUUAGUUUUGCUCAUAAGAACCAAAGUGUAAAAAUUGAUUUUUUGUGCAAAAUUUCUGUAAUUUUAGAUAGUAUAGGGUUCUAAGAGGAUGUAAUUGAUAUCAGUUUCAGAAUCGAAGCUCAAAAUUGAAAUUUAUGGCAAUUUCGAUUUUAAGAACUAAAUUGAAUAAAAUGAAAAACUUUAAGGGCAUUCAAAAAAUUAAAUUGAAUUGGUACAUGCAUGUUAGGGACUUUUAUAAAAUGAUUGGUAUUAAUAAAUUGAAUAGAAUUAUUGUAGAAAUCGAGAAUUAAACCAAAUUGAGGAUAAUCAGGGAAAGGCAAAAUUGCUAAUUUAUCCUUAAAAACUUGUUUGUUUGUUGUUUUGUCAGUUAAGUUCAUAUGAAACUUACUGUUUUGUUUCAUGCUAUGAUUGAAUUGUAUUUAUUUUGCUUAUUAGUUUGUACAAAUGUGAUUUGGUGAUUUUUGGCAUUAAUUGGGCUAAAUUGCAAAGUAUGAACUAUGGUAUUUAUGAAUAGGUACAAGGUACCAAAAUGGAAAUGGGAUAUUUAUAAGAUUGGUAUGACAUGUAAAUGUUGUUACAGGGAUUGAAAUUGUAUGAUUAAUAGUAAUAAUGCCUGUGUGAACUUAGUAAAAGAUUAGGAUACGUACGGCAUGCAAUUAGGGUCAAAUAUGAAAACGAUUAGGGAUUUUCAUGGUUAUAUGAGAUCCAACAUUUUUUGUGGAUUCUCGGCUUAUAUGUAUCAUUGGUUUAGCCUGGACAACCUUGAUACGAUAUCAACUUGUGUGAGCAAAUUCAAAAAUGUUAGCUUAUGUGAACAACCCUAAUCACUUUCAGCUUGUGUGAGCAAUAUAGUCUCGUGUAUUCGAGUUUGAUUUACUAUGGUUCUUUUAGGCGAAAAUGUAACUUAAUGGAAAUGGAAUUAUUGAAAUGGAUUGAAUAUGAAUUGAGCUAUAUAUGUUUUCUAAUAGACUAUUAAUUGGUUGGUACAUUUACCAAAUUGAAUGGUUAUAUAUGAAUUUUGUUAUAAGUUCUUGAUAUAUAAAUUGACUAACCAUUAGUUGCAUAUGAUAAUUUGGAUAUGAUGCUACAAAAUAUGUCAAAGGAUGUCAUGUUAAGUACCAAUGUGUUUUUAAAUGUUAGUUUGUUGAAAUGUCAAGAUAAGUUAAGUAAAUUUCAUAUGGUCUUACUAAGCAUUCAAUAUGCCUACUCUGUUGCCCCACUUUUUCCUUGUAGAUUGGCAUCUUGCAGAAUGUGUCAAUUGGAUUGUCGAGAAGCUCACAAUAUCCCGUUAUUGAUUUAGUAGUUUUUCAAUUGUUAAAAAGUUCGAUUUUGUGGCAUGUAUAUAUAUAUAUAGGUUUUGGUACAAUUUGAAUGUAUUAAGGACUUGAUGAGUUAAAGGUUGUUUUGGUGCAUGAUAUUGAAAAGUAUGUUUUAGCCAUGGUUUAUGUUUAGUUGAGAUGAUUUAUUUUGCUUAAUAAGUUUGAAAUAUGUAUGCUAUUGAAUGGCUAAGUGAUUAGAUGAAUUGGUUGAAAUUGAACAAGUUGAAUUGAUAUGUUUUAAUGCCAAUUUGAAAAUAUUUUGGAUUGAUUAAAUUGAAAUGGCUAAAUGCAAUGUUUUGGUAUGUGUUCGGGAUAUUUUUUGUGCAGGUAAGUUAGACAAAUGAGCCCAAAAUGUUAAGUUUGUGUGGAAGCUUUGAAAUAGGUACCAAAUGGCUUUAAAUUUACCAAAAAUAGAGUCCACGUCCCAACGAGCCACCUUCCUCGUCGCAAUGUCGGUCGACAAUGAGUCACGUCGUGACGUUGUAUGGCCUGAGGUCACAAUGUGACAAACUAUUUGGCAACGUCACGAUGUCGACUCUAAAAUUUCAAAACUUUAUAAUUUGGUGACAUUUCAAGCUCAAGUCAACAAAAGAUCUUUCGUAAGCUCGAUUAAGGCUCGGAUUUGAUUGCUUAACAUAAUGUAAAUGUGUUUAACAUAUGAUUGAAUGUUUGAAAUAUUUAUUUACAGUGUAUUUAACGAUAGUUGUUCCAACAACGAACAUGACAUUCCUAUAGCUCGGAUCCGAUAAUCAGGUUGAGUAAGGGAUGUUACACUCAUGAGGUGUUGAACUUUUAUAAGACUUUGGUUGGAACUACAAGUGAAUAUGUUAUUGAUUUUGUUAAUUUCUUUUUUCUUUCAAGAAUUUAUCUUGAAAUUUUGAUAAAAUUAUGAGGAGCCAUUAAUGAUAUUAUUCAAUUUUAGUGGAGCGUAUCCUCCAAAGACGGGCUUCUUUCUAUGCUUUGGACUUAAAAAGGGAAUAAUAUCAUAAAUGGUCCCUUAUAAUUUUAUCAAAAUUUCAAGAUAAAUUAUUGAAAUGAAGAAAUUAGUAAAAUCAAUGUCAUAUUUACUUGUAGUUCUCACAAAGUUUUGGCUUGAAACCGGGUAAUAUUGUAUUGAAAACAAAAGAAAAAAAAACAAUUGAAAAUAACUAAAAUUUGUUAUUAUAAAAGUUUGAUAAAAUAUGGGACUAUUCAUGAUAUUUUAUCAUUCUUGAGUUGAGCAGACCAAAAAAAUAUAUAUGAAAUCCGACUUCAACUAUUUUGCAAAUUAUUAUUUUUCCGCCUAUUUUGUUAAAUAUUUUUCUUAUUUCAUAUAAAAAAAACGCCUACUUUACAAUUUACGAAAUGUGAAAAGAAAAAGGAAAAAGUACAAGUUCAUUACUUUCUUUUUCUUAAUCUUUGCCAGAAUUAAAAGUUAUGGAAUUACAAAGGGAAUUUGCUGGGCUAAAACGGGAAAGAAAAUCAAGAUAUGAAGAAUGGUAUCUUUGGCAUGAUUAAAGCUGAUUUGACUUGUCAAAACAUAUUGUAAAAUUGAGGGAGAUUCUCCUAAUUUGUCAAUAAUAUUUUAUUAUUUUUUAACUCAAUAUAUUGAUGUGAUCUUAAUGGGGGUGUGUGAGGGGAUGAAGGGGCGGGGGGAGUUGAGACUUAUUGCUUCCUCAUCAAAGGUUGUGAUUGAAGCAAAGCCAUAUGAGAAACAGUUUCAAUGGUCCUGAUUGAGGAUUGCACAUAGCAGCCAUGUGGGCAGCAACAAACUAUGAAUAUAUUCUUUCUAAUUUAAUACUAAAGCCAAAGCAGUACAAGGAAAGGCUGCAAAUUUUGUAUGGGGAUCGGUGGGGAGUGGCAUCUGAGCUGACCUGACCCUGUCUGAGCAUUAUCAUCUUUAACCCCAACAUGGUUCCAUGUCAGGGAAACAUCCCUACACCUUUCCGUGCUUUUACCUUUUGAGCCACCAUCUCUCCCUCUACCUAAUGAUCCCACUGUUAACCUACAUCCCAAUUUCAAACUUGAGAUUGGGUGAUUGCAUGAAGUAGAUUCCUAAAAUUUAGUUCAGUUUUUGAAUGAAACGAGAAUUUGUCUUAAAUAGAAUAGUGGGCUUCAUAUUAGACAAGAUGAAGAUGUUGAGCCCAAUGUUUUAUAGAUACAAGUGAACCUCCACUUUGGUUGGCCUAAAAUAAAUAAUUGAUCCCAGUGUUUGAGGCCUGCACUACGCUCAUGCAAAUCACAUAUUUGCCUGACGUGGGGACCUAAACAUGGGCAUUUUUGUGCUUACUCAAGUAAUAAAACAUUAGCAGAUAUAAAAAUUCAAAUUCUAGGUGUGCAAUUAUUAGAGAAUGGAAUAUAAUAUAUAUGUUAGAUGCAUCUGCCUUCCUACACCCAAAUUCCUCUCAUUCCAAUAUUAGAUAUAUACUAGAAUUAAUAACAUUAUAAUAUGAUAAAUUAAUUUAAUUGUUUUAUAAAACUAUAAUUGUAAUAUUUUGAAAUAUAAAUAAAUACAAAAAAAAUUAAUGCUUAAUUUCAAUAAACAAUAAAUAUAAUACUUCUCUAUUUUAAUUUUUAAUAUUUCAAAUGUGAAUAUUAUAUUAUUUUAUUAAUUAAUCGAGUUUAAAUUUCAUUGGUAUUAGUAUUAUUGUCAGUGCAAGGGAUGCGAGUGUGUCUUUUUUAUAAUUACAUUAAUCAUAAAAAAUUAUAUAACUUACUAAUUAAUUAAAAAUAUUUUAUAAAUAUUAAUUUUCAUUUAAAUAGCUAAAUAAAAAUAUAUUUAUAUUUUAUAUAAAAUAUAAUAUAUAUAUAUAUAUAUAUAUAUAUGAAAAAUAUUUGGUAUACUGCCAUUGGAGUUUUUGGACUCCACAAACAGGAUUAGGAAGUUGACAAGUGUCCUAUAAAAUAUAAUAAAAUAUUAAUAAAAAAGACAUGUCAAUUUUUUAAAACUGCUUGUAGAAUAAAAAAAGUACACUAACAGUGGAGUUUUUUAGAAUCCACAAGUACGAAGUUGACAAGUCCCCUAUAAUAGUAUAGUAAAAUAUUUUAAAAAUAGAUAUUUAAGUAGGGUUAGGGGGUUGACAAAUGUUCUAUAGAGGUAUGAUAAACUAUUGAAAAAUAGAUAUUUAAAAAAGCAUAGACAAAUGUCAUUUUUUUAAUGCUGCUUAUGAAAUGAAAAAAUAUAUUGCAAAUACUCACCCAUAGAGGAAAAAUAUUUGGUACAUUGUCAGUGGAAUUUUUAGACUCCAAAAGUAGAGUUAAAUGUUGACAAGUGUCCUAUAUGGGUAUGAUAAACUAUUGAAAAAUAGAUAUUUAAAUAGGAUUAGGGGGUUGACAAGUGUACUAUAAGAGUAUAGUAAAAUAUUUAUAAAAAAUAGAUAUUUAAGCAUGGUAAAGGGGUUGACAAGUGUCUUAUAGAAGCAUGAUAAACUAUUGAAAAUAGAUAUUUUAAAAAAACAGAGACAAAUGUCAUUUUUUUUAAUGUUGCUUGUGAAAUGAAAAAAUAUAUUGCCAAUGUACCAAAUGCUCACUCAUAUUAGGAAAAUAUUAUUGCACUGUCAGUGAAAUUUUUAGACUCCACAAGCAGGGUUAAGGAUUGACCAGUGUCCCAUAUAGGUAUAAUAAAAUGUUAAUAUACAUAUUUAAAUAUAUAUAUAUAUGUCAAUUUUUUAAGGAUGCUCGUGGAAUAAAAAAAUUAUAGCGCUAGUUGAGUUUUUAGACUCUACAAGCAAGGUUAAUGGAUUAACAAGUAUCCUAUAGGUGUAUAGUAAAAUAUUAAAAAAAAAGACAUAUGUCAAUUUUUUAAAGUUACUUAUAGAAUAAAAAAAGUACACUACCAAUAUACCAAAUACUCCCCCAUAUAAAGGAAAAUAUUCGAUACAAUGUCAAUGGAGGUUUUAGACUUCAUAAGUAAGGCUAGGGUGUUAACAAUUGCCUUAUAGUAGUAAAAUAUUAAAAAUAUAUAUAUUAAAAAAAGACACAUGCUAACUUUUUAAGACUGCUUAUGAAAUAAUAAAAAAAGUACAUUGUCAGUGUAUCAAAUACUCACUCAUAUAGAGAAAAUAUUUGAUACACUGACAAGGGAGUUUUUAAACUCCACAAGCAAGAUUAGGAGAUUGACAAGAAUCCUAUAAGGUAAAUAUUAAAAAAUAUAUACUAAAAAAAGAGAUACAUGCCAAUUUUUUAAAGUUACUUGUGAAAUAAAAAAAUAGAUAUUAAAAUAAAGACGUAGCUUAAGCUUACUUUGAAUCCUUUAAAAGAGGGACUGAUUGCAACAUCAUUUACUAACAUUUUAGAUUCAUCAAUGCUAAAUUUUUAAUGAUUUUUGUUAAAUAUAAAUGGUAUUUUUGUUGUUGUUGUUAAAUAUACACAAUAUAUCAAAAAGUGAUUAAAGUAAUAUAUCAAAGAAGAUGCCCUAAAAUGGAAAAUUGUAGUUUAAUCUCUUUAAAAUAAUAAAAUUGUAAAUUAAUUUAUAGUAAAAUUAUACUUUGACCCCCUAAAUAAGAAAAAUUAUAUUUAAUUUCUUCAAAAAUAAUGGAAUUAUAAAUUAAUACAUGAUAAAAUUACAUUUAAAUCUCUCAAAAAAAUUUAUAAUUCAAUUUUGACUCUAAAAAAAAUUCUAACUUCACCCUGAAGAUCUAUAAAAAUUAUAAAAAACUCAAAGUAUAAUUGUUGAAGAAGGAAAUGUGAAAGAGACAAUUACAAUAUGCAUCAAAGUUAUUCUAUUAUUGAUGAACAUUGAAAUUGAUAAAACAAAGCAUAAAUGCCUAUAUUUAUAGGCUUACAAAGAAACUACCUUAACACAAAAAUAACUACAACUUAUUCAAUUAAAUUGAAAAGUUGGAACUAAUAAAGAUUCUACCGAGAUACUUGGUCAACUAAACAACCUACUACUUUGAAUUAAUUCUCAACACUCUCCCUUAAUUCAAAGUUGCAGAAACCAAGUAGACUUCUGAACUUCUCUUUUGAUAAAGCCUUUGUUAACACAUCUGCUAACUGCUUUUGGGUGUUGCAAUACUUCAAAGAUAUUUCCUCUUUUGCUACCAAAUCAUGAAUGAAAUGAUAUUGAAUAUCGAUGUGCUUUUUUUUACUAUGAAAUGUUGGAUUCUUUGUCAUGAAGAUAGUGGAUUUGUUGUCACAAAAUAUCUCUGUUGCACAUUGUUGUCACAAAAUAUCUCUGUUGCACAUUUCUACUCUUGUUGAAGAUUGGCUAACACUCUCCUUUGCCAAAUAGCUUGACAAGCUGCUGCAAUUGUUGCUACAUACUCAGCCUCUGAGGUUGACAAUGUUGUUGUAGCUUGCUUCUUAGAACUCCAAGUGAUCACCCCUGAACCUAGAGUGAAAACAUUUGCUGAUACACUUUUUCUAUCAUUUAAAGAACUUGCGCAAUCAUUGUCUGUGAACCCACACAAUUUGAAAUUUGGAGUUUUUGAGUACCAAAUGCCAUACUCCAAAGUUCCAACAAUGUACCGCAAGACCCGUUUUGCUACUCCAUAAUGAUCCUUUGAAGGUUGCUGCAUAAACCUAAAAAUAACACCAAUAAGAAUGCAAGUCGGGCCUAGUGUGAGUAAAAUAAAUUAAACCUCCAACCAAGCUUCUAAACCUACUUGCAUCUAUCAUUUCUUCUCCAUCUUCUAGCUGUAAUUUCUCAUUGAUAUUCAUGGGUGUAGCUACAGGUUUGCAAUUAAACAUGCCAAAAUUAUUGAGAAGAUCCUUGGCAUAUUUUCUUUAUGAGAUAAAAAUUCAAUCUUCAGCUUGAUGAACUUCAAGACCAAGGAAAUAAUGCAAUAAAUCCAUAUCCGACAUCUCGAAUUCAUUCAUCAUUUGAGACUUAAACUCAUCAAUAAGAAAGUUAGAGGAACUAGUAUAAAUGAUAUCAUCAACGUAAAGACAAACAAUGAUGAAAUCAUUUUUACCUUCCUUUUUCACAUAUAAGGUGGGCUCAUUCUCACUUCUCAUGUACCCUUUCUUUUGAAGAUAUACAUUGAUCUUGUUGUACCAUGCUCGAGGGGCCUGUUUCAAUUCGUACAAUGCCCUUUUCAACUUGUACACCUUUGUUUAUUUGCCCUUCUCUAUGAAACCUUCUGGUUAUGCUACAUAAACCUCAUAUUGUAGAUCUCCAUUGAGGAAUACUGAUUUGACAUCAAAUUGAUAAACAGGCCAUUGCAAGUGUGCAACUAAUGCUAGAACAAGCCUCACUGUUUCGAACCGAGCUACCGGAGAAAAGGUUUCUUUAAAAUCAACACCAUAUUGAUGUACAUAACCUUUCACUACAAGACGAGCUUUGUGCUUUUGGAUGCUUCCAUCUGCACAAAUUUUUUUCUUAAACACCCACUUCAAACCAAUUGCAUUUUUGUCUUUCGACAAGUCGACCAACUCCCAAGUUCCAUUUUUUCGAUAGAUUUCAUCUCCUUUAUCAUCACUUUUUGUCAUUCUUCCUUAUCAGCAAUUUCUUCAUAACAUAGAGGAUCUAAAAUAGCUAAAGCAAAUUGAAAAGAUGCAUAAGUGUGAUUAAUAUAUUUUGGAUUCAACUUUCUGACCCUUGUUGAUCUUCUUAAUGGAAUUGGUUCUUCAGAAGACUCUUCAAGUGUUGUAGAUGUUGCUGGUGUUGAAGCUUGUUUUUCAUCUGGGAAUCUUCAAUUGGAAAAGAAAUCUCCUAUUGUCCCUGCUCUACAGUAUAUCCUAACUUGCAUUUUCAUCAAACACUACAUCUCUUUUACUUAAAAAAUUUCCACUAUGAGGGUUAUACAAUAUAUAUGCUUUGGAUUGAGUACAAUAACCAAUAAAAAUACAUUUUUCAUAUUUUUCAUCAAAUUUUUACGAGCAUGAGAAUUUACCAAAGCAUAAACAACACAACCAAAAAUUCUUAAAUGACUUACAUUAGGUUUCCUACCACACUAAGCUUUAUAUGGAGUUUUGUUCAUGACAGUCCUUGUUGGCGAGAGAUUUAGUAGAUAGACUGAUAUUGCCACAGCUUUUGCCCAAAAUUGAUUUGAGAGUCCCUUUGCUUGUAACAUGCUUCUCGCCAUCUCCACAAUAAUUCGAUUCUUCCGCUCAACAACAUCAUUCUGCUCUGGAGUGUAAGGAAUUGUUAACUCCUUACGGAUGCCAUUGUCUUCACAACAUAGAUUGAACUCCUUGGACAUGAACUCUCCUCCUCAAUCUAUGUAAAGAAAUUUGAUAUGGCAGCCGCUUUGGUUCUCCACCAUAGCCUUGAAUUUCUAGAACUUUUCAUAAGUUUCUGAAAUGUUUUCCAGAAAAUACACCCAACUCAUGUGGCUAUAAUCAGCAGUAAACAAUAAGAAGUAACGGCUCCCACCCAAGGACUCUGUUUGCAUUGGACCACAUAGAUCUGCAUGAACUAAUUUUAAACAUUCAGUAGCUCUCCAUGCUUUUCCAACAGAAAAUGGCUUUUUAGUUUGCUUUCUAUAAAUGCACCCCUCACAUAAAUCAAGAGAGCCAAUUUUUGGUAGUUCAAGAACCAUACCUUUAUCACUUAGCAAUUUCAGGCCUUUAAUAUUGAGAUGUCCAUACCUCAAAUGCCAUAGCUUCGAGUCAUUCUUUUCACUUGCAGCAAGAACAAAGUUCUCUAUGUUUGAAACAUCUAACAGAAACAUCUUGUUUGGAGUCAUAUGGACAUGGACUUGUUUGCUUGACUUUUUGUUUUUGAUGAUACAUGCAUCAUCAUCAAAUAUGACAGAAUAUCCACCAGCCAUUAGUUGUCCAACACUCAAUAAAUUGUAUCCUAAAUCAGGAAAAAAGUGAACAUUGUCCAAAAUAUUUCCUUCUCUAAAAAAUUUCACCGUUUCUUUUCCUUCAACUUACAUCUCCCUUUUGUUCCCAAGCUGCACCUUUAUCUUUUGUAACUCAUCAAGCACCUUGAACAAGGAUUUGGCACCUGUCAUAUGAUUCGAACAGCCGCUAUCCACAAACCACAAAUCACUUGGCUUAUGGUUAGCAUCAAUACAAGCCAUAAAAAACUUGUUUUCCUCAUCACUUUCUACUGAAAAGUUAAUUUUUUUAUUCUUAUACUAGCAAUCAGCUUUUAUAUGCUCAUAUCUAUUGCAAAGAUAAUAUUGUAUGCCAUAUUUUAUGUUACCUUACUCAUUAUAUUACCUCUGACCAUCAUUCCUUCCUUUGCCUCUGCCUCUGCCUCUGCCUCUGCCUCUACCUCUACCUCUACCUCUACCAUAACCACGGCUAUGACCACCACGAAAUCUUCCUCUUCCUCGAUUAUUGUUUAUUGAACAGUCAUUUUCGCCUUGAUUUGUGAAUGUCUCCUUCACUUGAAAUGUCUGCUCUUCACUCUUUUCUGCUAAUCUGUUGAUUCUCCCCUCAUGAGAUUGAAGAGACCCCAUCAGUUCAUCGACGAAGAGAACUAACAGAUCUUUGGGUUCUUUUAUAGCAGCCACAACAUGAUCAAAUUUUAUCGUCAAGCUUAGCAAAACUUUCGCUACAAUUAUCUUAUCUGAAAUUUGUUCACCGUAAGAGCGCAAUUGGCCAACUAUUGUCCUUGUUCAUGACAAAAAAUCAGUAAUUGAUUUACCAUUCUUCAUCAUCAAGGUUUCAAAAUCACGUCGUAGUUAUUACAAUUUCACCACUAUAACCUUUGAAUCACCUUGAUACUCUUUCUGUAUAAUUAACCAUACUUCAUUUAAUGUGGUUGCUACAGCAAUUCGUGAGAAAAUAGAGUCAUGAAUUGCUUGCUGGAUAAUGAACAAUGCCUUAGCAUCGUUUUUCUUGGUUUCUUUCAAUCUUUUUUUCUUUUUCUUCAUCAGGUUCAAGUAUGCCAGCAAACCCAUACUCGACCAAGUCCCAUAGCUCUUGUGAUCUGAGCAAUGUCUUCACCUUGAUGCUCUACCACUCAUAUUUCUCACCAUUGAAAAUAGGUAUAAGUGGUUGAAAGGAAAAAAAACCAGCUGAUGCCAUUCCAAGAACACACACUCUCUUCUCUCGUGUUUCUCAAAGACCCAAAAAGGUGUUUCUCUCAAAUACCCAGUGGACCCAAACCUAACUUUCACUCAAUUUCCUAAAAUAUCGAACCUAGCUCCAAUGCCAAAUUUGUUAAAGAAGGAAACGUGAAAGAGACAAUUACAAUAUGCAUCAAAGUUAUUCUAUUAUUGAUGAAAUUGAUAAAACAAAGCAUAAAUGCCUAUAUUUAUAGGCUUACAAAGAAAUUACCUUAACACAAAAAUAGCUAACAACUUAUUCAAUUAAACUGAAAAUCUGGAACUAACAAAGAUUCUACCGAGAUGCUUGGUCAACUAAACAACCUACUAUUUUGAAUUAAUUUUCAAUAAUAAUUAGAUAAUGAUCAAAGUAGUAAAAUAUUGAAUAGCAAUACCAUAAUCUAAUCAUGCCAAAAGUAAUUCAAUGUGCAUUCUCAAAAGUAAAGAAAAAGAUUAAACGUAUAUAUGCUUGUAGUUCUAAGAUGUUCGGGACAAAUUCAACCAUAGCUUUUCAUCCAAUUUUUCAGAAAAUGCUCCAAUUAUUAUAAUAGUUAAGUUAUACAAAAAAUUUAGAAUAGAUUACGGUGGUUAUUUAUAUUGUAUGUAGUGUGGAGAGUCACUAAGUAUGGAAGCUUAGGAUGAUAUUUUAAUAAAAUGAUGACUAAUAAUUGAUUUUCUAUCAUGUGUCUUGUUCUAUUUUCUUUCAUCUCUCUUUGAUCUUAGAAGAGGUAUUUAUAAGAGAAGGAAGUAAUCCUUCAUAUCAUUCUUGCCUCUUUAAAAGAGUCCAAUUUAAACUUAACUUACGGUAUGACCUGAGUGUAUUACCAUGUGAAAUUGAUGAACUUAAAAAGUAAUAACAAUAUUAAAUUUAGUGUGACGGUUGUCUUUAAUGAUAUCAUGAUAAUACUUUUUUAUAAUGUGAACAGUUAUAUUUAAUGAUGCCAUGAUAACUUUUUUUUAGUCUGAAGAUAUCAGUACAACAAAAAUUCCGGUGAAUAAUAAUUGGAAUCAAAUCAAUACAAAACCCUUCACAUUUUUUUAAUAAAGUCUUGGUUUUUAAUCUUCAAUAGUCUUUACAUUAAAGUUUUCUUAUCAUACAUUUUAUGCAUGAGAUUUCUAUUUUAUGAAGCCAGAGUUCAAGAGUUAUUGAUAAAAUACUAAUACGUCUUGUUAAAACAUUAUAGAAAUAUUUGCAUCUUGCAUUGCUUAUGUCUUAAAGUAAAUAACUUCCAUAAAAGUCUGAAUUUUUCUUUUAAAAAAAAAAAGAAAGAACUUGACUCGCUUACUUUGACUUUAAUUAAGGUAGGAAUGUCACAUGUAGAGGCUUGUUGAAGUAACCUUAACAAGUCAAAGAAAACAUUGCUCAAAGUCCAACAUGUCACCUCUCUGAGGGUUGCAUUCAACAAAUAAGCACUCAAAACAUAGAAUCACAUGCGGUGAAGACAGACAAGGCUCUUUCUGAGGAGGAGUUUGGACAAAGGUUGAGUUUUACUAUUAAUCUUUGAGAAAAAAAUUCAAUCAAUGGCAUCCAAAUCCGAUGAUUCUUAAAUACAACAUCUAAGUUAGAUUAUAAAAUUGAAGUUUUUCAUUUUAUUUAUUUAUUUAUUUUUUUACUUAUGGAUUAAUGGAAAAUGAGCAUAUAAUAAGUUGUUUUUUUCUUUCAAUGAGCAUAUAAUAAGUUAGUGACUUAAUGGUAAGUAGUAAUAAUAUUGUCUUGUUCCCAUGGUGGUCUGUUGGGGGGAAAAACAGACAAAAGAAGCUAAAAAGGCGAGUCAACUAUCUACAAAAGUUAUACUUGGGUUGGCUGAGAGGCCUAAAAGGAGAUAUGCAUAAGGAAAGGAAGAAAGAAAAAAAAAAGCAAAUCCAAUAGCAAAGAAGCCUUUUUUAUACCUUCCUUUUUGGUUUUGCUGAUCUUUUCUCGAUUCUCCCCAUCUUUGAAAAGUAAAAAAUUGAGCACAGAAAAGGGAUCAUAAUCCAAAAAAUCUUGCUGCCCUAAUAGCAUCUAACAUUUUCUUUCAUCUUUCUAAAUAGGCAAGUUGUGUUUCUUUGUAGGAAGUUAGGCAGCCUUCUAAUACAGCAAAAAGGAAAAGGGAAAAGAUUGAAAGGAGCUGGUUUUUUUAUUAUUAUUAUUCUAGUUGUGAUGGGAGCUUGAUGGAGCAACCGCAUCAAAUCUGUCAGUUCUUCUGGUACAGGUAACUUAAAUGUUCUUUGGUUCUGAUUUUCCUUAAAGCUUUCAACUUUUUCAUAUUUGUUUAUGAGAAAUGAACUUGUAUGUCUUGUUUCCUGUUUUGACAUCAAUCAGAGGAGUUGGUUUUUAUUGUGAUGUGAGCGUGUAGCUUUAUUUGUUAUAGAGCUUUGAUGAUCACAAUCCUAAAUUGGAAUAAGGACCCUAAUUGGAGCUUUAGAAGUGAGUUUUUGGAGAGACAAUCUUAAAUGAACUUACAAAGUAUGAAACUUUAUCUGUUGUUGUAUAGGAGUUGAUUUAAGGAGUAAGAGCAGAAAUGGAAACAAUUUCUCAAGCAGCAGGGUGUCUUCAGCUUCUAUACCAUAAGCACCUCGGAGUGAUGGUGAGAUUUUGCAGUCUUCAAAUUUAAAGACGUUCACCUCCAGUGAGCUCAAGGCAGCCACCAAAAACUUCUCACCAGACACUGUGCUAGGAGCAGGUGGAUUUGGUUCUGUCUUCAAAAGAUGGACUGAUGAGCAUUCACUUACAGCCACCAAGCCUAGUACUAGCAUUGUUAUUGUUGUUAAAAGGCUCAACCAAAAAGGUUUCCAGGGUCACAAGGAAUGGUUGGUUAGUGAUGGAUGGUGAAAUUAUGAUGUUAUAAUCGCUUUUUCGGUACAAGUAGUGUUAUUUAUGACUUUUCUCUAACAAGAGAGUAACUUGAUUUUUUUUUAUAAUUUGGCAUAUAGGCUGAAAUCAACUAUCUUGGACAACUACAUCACCCUAAUUUUGUAAAGUUAAUUGGUUAUUGCUUAGAGGAUGAGAAUCGACUUUUGGUAUACGAGUUCAUGGCUCGGGCUAGCAUGGAGAAUCAUUUUUUCAGGAGUGAGUUCCUUGUGUUGAUGAAACAUUCAUAACUAUGACAUAAAGCAUAUGUCUCAUUCCACCAUACCCAAUUUUAUUUUGAAACAGGAGGGUUAUACUUCCUACUUCUUCCUUGGGGCAUCCAGAUGAAGGUUGCACUUAGUGCUGCAAAAAGACUUGCCUUUCUUCACAAUGCCAAAACACAAGUCAUAUAUUGCUACUUUAAAACUUCUAAUAUCUUACUUGAUUUGGUACAUAAACGAGCUAAUGUUUCCUUUUGCAUUGCUGUUCCAUGGCGAAUACAUUGGAACAUUGGUCAUUCCACGGAUGAGCUAUUUAUUGUUCUUUCAUUUGAUAUUUGCAGAAUUACAAUACAAAACUCUCUGAUUUUGGGUUAGUUAGGGAUGGACCAACUGGUGAUAGGAGCCAUGUUUUCACUAGGGUCAUGGGAACCUACGGUUAUGCUGCUCCUGAAUAUCUAACCACAGGUAUCACUCUCAGGUUUAUUUUCUUCUCUAACUUGAUCUAUGCUGUUAUAUAUCCUACAGGUUUCUCAUGCAUUUAGCUAUUUGUUAUUGGAUCAUUUGAAUUAAAGUUGAUAAAGUCUGAGUGUUGAUAUAAAUUUAAAAUUUCUAUUUGAAAGGUCACUUGACUGACAAGAGUGACAUAUACAGCUUUGGAGUUGUUCUUCUUGAAAUGUUAUCCAGCCGACGAGCUAUAGACAAGAACAGGCCAUCUGAAGAACACAAUCUAGUGGAUUAGGCAAAACCUUACCUGACCAACAAACAAAGAAUAUUCUGUGUAUUAGACACCCAUCUCCAAGGUCAGUAUUCAAUGAAUCGUGCCCAAAAGGCAGCUAACCUAGGACUUCAAUGCUUAGCUACUAAACCCAAGUUGAGACCUAGCAUGGAUGAGGUGGUAUAAACACUUGAGCAGCUUCAGGAGCCAGGUGACAUGUAGAAAAGCACACAGAAAGAACACCAUGUAAAUGCUCACAACCCAUCAAAUGACAAACUAACAGCUUAUCAAAAGCCUUCUACUUUACGACUUAGUGUUUAGAUGAAAACUUUUUUGAUGCAGCAGCAAAUCAAACCAUGGUUGAGCAGUAUACUGUUUGUUUGCUUAAACCAUUUAAAUCAGCUCUGAAAUUGAUCAACGUCAUAUAUGAGAGCAAAUAGGAACAUGAUCUAAGUUUAGAUAAAUAUCAUAUCAUAUUAUAUCAUAUCAUACCAGUAUGAUUGAAAAGAUGUGGAAGCUUGUCUCAGGAUUUUUUUGGCUCUUCCUUGAUCUCUAGCAUAUGAUCUUGUAUUGUAUGCCAGUGUAUUUAAACUCAUUUGGGAAAUGUAAAAAUCAUUAUUUCUUUCUCUUAAUUGUUGAUAUUUUGAUAUGUGACGUGUUUUCUCAAUUAUUUUAAACUUCACAUUAACUUUCUUUAUCUGUAUUGUUUAUUGGACAUGGAAAAAGAAGAGUGGGAUUUGGGUUGUAUAGAGAACUUCGAGGCAUUUGCUUGAUUUAAGUGACCCAGAAGGUGUGGUGCAAAGGUUUCAAUUUCCAAUAAAGACUCUCUCUUGUCAAAUAAAAAAUAGAUUUAGAAAGUUUCAAGUCAUUUGUUACAUAUUCAGAAUGAGGGCAGCUCGGAGUGCCGGUAACCAUUUUUUUUAGAUUUUACUGAGUAAUUUAAACAACAUUGUAAGACCUAGUCAAUUGUGCAUUUAUGUAGUUUCUGGAACAGCCCAUUUUUGUCAAAAUCAAAUGAAACUAAGAAAUCAGUAAUGGAGUGAAUGAAGGGUUAAAACAAAUGGAAUUGGAUGGUGCAUGGACCACAUUGAAAGUACGAAAACAGUUAUUUACUUGACAUCCAUGUUGAAGCAUUUGAGAGGGAAAACUUCAGUUGCAAUAACUAUCAGUGUGAUUGAAUGCAAUUCUCCCUACUGUAGCAUUUACUUGGAAUGGAAAUCUUUCUUUCUAUUGAAAUUGUAGAAAUGUUUUUGGUUGUUAGAGUAACUAUAUUAGUUAGUACUCUGUUACAGUUAGUUAAUAUUCUGUUAUAGUGAGUUACAAAUCAGUUGUGAAGAAUGCUGCAAUCUAAUGUGUUACUAUCAGUGUGUUCGUUAUCUUUAAAAUUAAUAAAUGAAGUUCUUUAUGUGUUUCUAAUAUGGUAUCAGAGUGAAUUUUUUUUUUUUAGGAAUGGAGUUAGCAACAGAUAAGUUUUUGGCUUUUGCCUCACAGAAGGUAGCUGUGCUGGUUGAUGAUGGAAAUUUCUUGGCCUGGAAACAGCAUAUGUUGUUGAUUGUAAAGACUCAUCGGCUACAAAUGUUUCUUAAUAGGACGGUCGCUAUUCCUCCAAGAAUGGUUGUAACUGAAGGUGGUAUCUCAGACGAGAAUUCUUUGUAUGUGUGCUAUGAACAACAAGACUCUGCACUUGCGGCGUGGCUGCUUUCGACUAUUAGUCCAUUAUUGCAUAAUCAACUCGUCGGGAAUUUUGGUUCGUCUUGUGAGUUGUGGCAAGCUCUUAUGCAUAUUUUUGGGUCUCAUUCAACCACUAAAGCCAUGAGCUAUCGAUUGUUGCUGCAUAAUAUUCAAAAAAAAUAAACUCUCCAUAUCUGCGUAUUUAAUACAAAUCAAGCAUCUCUGUGAUUCUUUGGUAGGAUAUGGACAACCAGUAACUAUAGAAGAACAACAAUCUGCAAUUUUGAAUAGCUUACCUCUAGAGUUUGAUCAUGUGGUGUCGAUUAUCACCAUGAGUAGAGUGCCAUUCGAUCUUCAAGGUAUCACAACUGCUCUUCUGAAUGCUGAGGCUCGGCAACAAGGACAUUUCUCACAGAUGGCAUUUUUAGCGAAUGUUGCCGUGGUGCAAAAGAAUCCUUCGUCUUAAAGUGCUCCGACUUAUGCCGGACAACUACCACCAGAUAUGUUUCGUUCAUCAUGAGGAUCUCAAGUUUCUCGUCGUGGUCGAAGUCGUGGAAGACGUGGUGGUGGUGCAAUACCAAAAUAUCAAAUUGUGGGAAGUUUGGGCAUCUUGCUCGGAGAUGCUUCUAUAGAUAUGAUUCAGCGUCUGAUGGAGAAAGAGAAAACCCUAGUGUGAAGGAUGACACUGAAUAUUCUGCUUCUCGUAUGGGUCAUGAGUAUUGGGCUGGAUAUGUUUCUCGCGUGGAUCAAAAGCCUGUUACAGCAUAUAUGUGUUAUGCAGAUGAUGGGCUACAUUCUUCCUAUUAUGCCUCUAACCAGGCAGUACGUAGGCCUCUUCUACAGAUUCAUCCCUCAUUUAUUGAAGUAGACUCAAUUCAACGUAGUCAAAGUCCAUAAUUUUACAUGCCUGCAGUUGUUGGUCAGACUUUACGUGCUUCUUUUGGUUGUGAUGCUGAUUAUGUGCGUCAUUGUUCGGGGUUUUAAUCUCAGUCGCCUUUUUCAAUGGCUGGACAUAUAGUAAAGUCGAUUGGGUCAUCUGGGCUUGCUAAUCCUUCUAUAGUUGCCGAUCCUACGUGGUAUCCAGAUAGUGGAGCCACUGCUCACAUGACGAAUGACUCGACCAAACUUUUCGAUGCUCGGUUGUACAAUGGAGGAGGUAAGGUCAUUAUAGGUAAUGGUCUUUCUAUACCUAUUAAGCAUGUUAGUGGUUUAUCAAUCUUGGCUGAUAAUUCUAGUCCAUUGUUGCUUAAGGAUUUAUUGUAUGUUCCUGAUAUUAGAAAGAAUUUAUUGUCCGUUUCUAAGUUUUCUAAAGACAAUGGUGUAUUCUUUGAAUUUAUCCUAACUACUACUGUGUCAAGGAUUUGAAGACUCGUCAGAUGUUGCUUUGCAGAAGUGAGUUGAAUGGGUUGUAUCGGUUUGAUACUGUCAAGUCAGACUUUGCUUUUAAUGCUGAGAGUACAUCUCGUACAGAGUCUCUUCCACCACAGAGGUCAGAUGUUAGGUUUGACUGGUGGCAUCGAAGGUUGGGUCAUCUAUCAAAUAGUAUUGUUAGUAGUGUCUUAUAUGCUUGUAAUAUUAGAAUUUCAAGACAUAAGAGCUAAUCAUGCCUUUUCAUUCUUCUGACUCUGUGUAUACUGCUCAUUUAGAACUUGUGAUUGUUGAUGUAUGGGGGCCAGCUCCUUGCUACUCCUCUGGUUAUCAAUAUUACCUGUCUUUUGUUGACUCAUUUUCUCGACACACUAGGAUUUAUUUUCCUAAAAAGAAAUCUGAUGCUUUUGUUGCGUUUAUGUUAAGCUACAGUUAUGAGUUAAACUCAAACAACUUCAAAUUUAUGGUGGUGGUGAGUUUCGAUCGUUUGAUUUGCAUAUGAAAUAAUGUGGAGUUGUUUAUCGUAUCUCCUAUCCACAUACCUCGGAGCAGAAUGACAUUGUUCAGCGUCGCCAUCGGCAGAUUGUUGAGACAGGAUUAGUGCUAUUAGCUCAAGCUUCCUUUCUUAUUUUUUGUUGGGUUAAUGCGUUUGCUACUGUUGUGUUUAUCAUGAAUAUUCUUCCAACGAAGGUACUAAAUGGGGUAUCUCUUUGUGAGCAGCUAUUUGGUCACAAACCAGACUAUCAACGACUUCGUGUCUUUGAAUGUCUUUGCUAUCCUCAUCUUCGACCUUUUAAUCGACACAAGCUUCAAUACAGGUCUGCUUCUUGUACCUUUCUGGGUUAUGCCUUCAAUCACAAGGGUUAUAAAUGUGUUGAUAGGUUUGGUCGGGUCUAGAUCUCUCGACAUGUUCGUUUUGAUGAAUCUAUUUUUUCGUUUGCUCAAGUUUCAAAGUCUAUUGUACCUGUCAUUGAUAACAGGUCUAAGCAGUUCAAGAGAGAUGUUACUACUUUACCCAUAUUCAUGGUUCCUACUGUUGAGGUUUCGGCUCAACCUGGGGCUGGUUCUACUUCAGUUAGUAAUACUAAUACUAUGGAUCAUUCGGAUCAUUCUUUGGAUGAUGCUCUCGACUUUUCUUCAGAAAGUCCUGCAGGUUCUUUAAGACAAGUCUGUGAGCAUUAGGCUCCAGUCGGUGAGCUGCAGCAGCCCUCAUCAGUAAAUUGUCAUCCUAUGAUGACUAGAAGGAAAAUGGGGAUUUACAAACCAAAAGCUUAUAUGGUAGAAAUGAGUGGUAUCGAGCCUUCAACUAUUCAUGAGGCAAUGGUAAUUCUUUUAUGGAAGUAAGCUGUGAAUGAUGAACUUCAAGCCUUAAUUCGAAAUUAUACUUGGGAUUUAGUUCCAGUACCGGCAAAUCAAGCGUUAGUCGGUUGCAAAUAGUUGUUCAAGAUCAAGAAAAACUCUGAUGGAAGUAUAGCACGUAACAAGGUUCGUUUGGUUGCUCAAAGGUUUUCUUAAACGGCAAGACUGGAUUAUCACGAGACUUUCAGUCUAGUUGUCAAAGUCAAUACUGUGCAGUUGAUACUUGCUUUAGCUGUGUCACGGAAAUAGAAGCUUCGACAGGUUGACGUGAACAAUGCAUUUUUGAAUGGAGACCUCACUGAGGACAUUUAUAUGAAGCAGCCUCCUGGGUUUGAAGUCGUUGAUGAGCAUGGGCAGCCUUUGGCAUGUAGCCUGAAUAAGGCCAUCUAUGGCCUUAAACAAACUCCAAGAGCUUGGUUUGAAAAGCUGAAGAAUUUUUUGGUGCAUCAACUGAAUUUUAUGCCUUCAAGGGCUGAUUCUUCCUUAUUUUACAAACACACAGAUGCUGGCAGUGUGUAUUUUCUUGUUUAUGUUGACGACAUUAUUGUUACAGGAGGAGAUUGUGUUGAAUUACAUGCUGUUAUUUCUUGUCUUGAUCGUCGGUUUUCUCUUAAAGACUCAGGGGAGCUGAGUUUUUUUCUUGGACUUGAAGUGGUAAGACAUCAGGAUCGUAUGCAUGUAUCUCAGCAGAAGUAUGCUCGUGAGUUGCUGAAACGUGCUAACAUGCUGCAUGCUAAGCCCGUGAAUACUCCUAUGGUGAGUUCACCGACUCUUACGUCCUUGGCUGGGGUGCCAUUACUAGAUGGUACUCUUUAUCGACGAGUGGUCGGCAGUCUGCAAUUCUUGUGUUUGACUCGUCCAGACUUGUCUUUUGCUGUCAAUAAAGUGAGCCAAUAUAUGCAUCAACCUCAUGAUGUGCAUUGGACAGUUGUGAAACGUAUCUUGCAAUAUGUUAAGGGUACAAUUGAUUAUGGGUUGUUAUUUCAAGCGUCUAGUCUGAGUUUAACUAGUUUUAGUGAUGCAGAUUGGGCAAGUUCGAUUGAAGAUCGCAAGUCUACUUCCGAUUUUUGUAUAUACUUAGGUGAUAAUCUAAUGGGUUGGAUGUCCAAGAAACAGAGCGUUGUCUCCCUGUCUACUACCGAAGCUGAAUAUCGAAGUUUAGCUAAUGCAACAUCUGAAGUGGUGUGGUUUCAAUCUCUGUUGACUGAGAUAGGAUUUAAGCUUAGUAGUACACCAGUCAUUUGGUGUGAUAAUACUAGUGCAGUUUCUGUAGCUGCUAAUCCUGUACUGCAAGCGCGAGUAAAACAUGUGGAGUUGGACAUUCACUUUGUUCGAGAAAAGGUUCUGAGUAAUCAGUUGUGUGUAAAUUUUGUUCCUGGAGUGAUCAGGUGGCUGAUGUGUUGACUAAGUCGUUAACGUUUGGAGAUUUUUCUCGCUGUCAGGAUCGCAUGAGUGUUGUUGCUGCUAGCAGUUUAUUUUCCGAUACUGGAAGCAAAAUGUUAGAGUAACUAUAUUAGUUAGUACUCUGUUACAGUUAGUUAAUAUUAUGUUAUAGUGAGUUAGAAAUCAGUUGUGAAGAAUACUGCUAUAUAAUGUGUUACUAUCUGUUUGUUAUCUUUGGAAUUAAUAAAUGAAUUUCUUUAUGUGUUUCUAAUAUUGGUCAGGCAUCGCAAGGUCCUAACAGCAUGACCCCUGAGUUAAAUUUAUUACAAGAAAUAGAAAAGAAUCUUAGGUUGUGUUUUCUGUUUCAACUGCCAUCAAUUGUUUGUUCAUCCGCAACUAAUUUAGCUCCUCAAAUAUAUGACAUUCUUCAUCCUUACCUUUACAACACAUCUCGGAUGGAAUAAUAAAUGGGUUGCCUCCGUUGGAUCUUUUCUACACUGAAGUGGGCUAAAACAUAGCGAUAUUAGUAAUUAUAUUUAUCAUUUUAAUUAGCAGCCGUCUUAGCUCAGCUGGUAGAGAGCGUGGCUUUUAACCACGUGGUCGUGGGUAUUCCCACAGACGGCGUCUAAUUCAUUUGAAUUUAUAAGUUUUAGCGAAAAGGAACACGCACGUUACCACUUUUAGUUUAAAAGCCCAGAUCAAUCUCACCCACUAUUUUUUUCCUCUAAAAGGUAAGUUUUAUUAUUUUCUGACAAGAUGAAAUCAUUCAAGCAAUUUAUUGUUAUUAAUAUUCAAUAUAAGCUUAUUAUAAAACUGCUAUUAUUUUAUAAAACAGGCUUCUGCAAUUUUGGUUUUGUGGAGGGGAUGGAUUGAACUCUGUUUAACAUGGCCUACUCCACCGGCCUAUUUUUUACCUAAAAAGACAAACGAUAACAACAUGGUAUUUCUUUUAAAAAAAUAAAAUAAAAUUAGAUAAGUUUGAUUCUUAAUCCGUAAAUUAAGAAAAAAGAAAAACCAUUUGUCUGGAAAAAUAAAUGUAUGAAAGAGCAUAUUCAGUCAGUAGAAUGAAAAAUAACAGAAUGGAGGCCAAAUUUUUUAUAUUUUUACUUGUAAAGCAAGCUUAGCAUAUUUAUAAAUGGAUGUCUAGGGUACAUCAUUAUCAUUAUUGGAAGAGAGGAAAUUAACCCAAAUGGCCCUUUUUGUUUUCUUCUUUUUUAUCUAAAUUUGGAAUGUGAUGUCCAUCAGAAUCAGAAAUGGCCCACUUCCUUUUAUCACAAUCUUCAAUAUAAUUGCCAUUGCAACAAAGACAAAGAAGCAAUUGCCUUUUCAAUUAUUUAACGUAGAGACACAAGAAAGACAUUGCAGAUCAAGAAAAUAUUGUUUUGGUUUAUCUAAAUCUCUCUUAUUCUCAUAGCAGUAAAAAUGAAACUACUAUAUGACUCGAGUGCUGCGGGCUGCAUGUUUUCUUUUGCUUUGCAGCCGCUUCAGCACCCCCACCUUACAACUUUUUUUGCCAUCAGCUGGAAUUUUUUUUACUGUUACCCACCAGCUUACUUGCAAUUCACAAACAAAAGAAAUACAAAAUGCAACACUCAUGACUCAAAUCCAACAACACACACAAUGGUCACUUGGUGACUUUGCUAUCUAUUUUUCUUUUCCGUAAAGUCCUACCCAAAAGCCCAUUUUUACCCACCCGCCAUUUCAAAUUUUCCCGAGAAAAUAAAGGAAAAUUGAAGGGCAGGAAAGAGAAAGUUAAAUUGAAGAAGUGGUAAUAAAAAUUAAAAGGGAAAAGAAGUGUGUUUAAAAUCAAACACGGAAAUUCUUUGCGGUGAAGGUUUGUCCGAACUGCCAAUUAGCUGGUGCCACGUUCCAGGAGGUGGAGGUUCUUCUAUCACUGCCCGUCACUCUAAACGAGAGUUGUUGGCCUACCAAAACGGCGUUGGACUGCCAGUUCUGACCCCAGUUACGGCUCAUGCUCAACCAACCGGUGUUGGUUCCUUUCACGCUCACCUUCACAAUAUCCCCCGCACCCGCCACGUUGGUGACCAAAACCAAGUUGAAAUAACGGAAUCCGUUGAUAGUGAAUCUAAUUCCACCUUGCUUUCGGCAUGGCACUCUGUCAAUCAAUCAAUAAUUUAAUAAGGGUGUUUGUGGAAAUUAUAUAAAUUGAAAGCCCUUUUUUCCUGCAUUAAUGAUGGUAUGUCGUCAAUUUUGUCGUUCAAGGAGGAUGUCUGAAUGGGCGGAAAAUCUUGGUGAUCCCCAAAUUUACAGUACUGCCCUGGUAAUCAUUGGGAAUCGAGAGAGGAGGGGUGUUUGGGUCAUUCCAGGCGUCACAGGAAAACCGUUGGAUCUAAGUGUGGGUAAAGGAUAUUAAAUUCUGGAUUGAUUCUCAAAAUCUCAACAGACCCCGAGAUAAUGAGGUCAUAAAGGGCGAUUCUUUUGAGGCCCUCCUUUUGCCUUUCCCAAGGAAGUACGUAAAAAGUUAUUUUAAUUAAAAACAAUACUGUGUUUGGUUCCUAAAUGUAUACACAUUUCACCACCCUUCUCUUCGUAAAAAUACUAAUAAAUGGAAGAGUAAUGAGGGAGACUGACCUGCGGAAGGAAACGGGGACAAUACCAGCACGGUACUCGGCGAUCUUAAGGAACAUAGGCAUGGCAAGGUCAAAGUGAGGGCGAGGAGGGUUACACCAGCCGCCAUUAUCACUUGGGAGAGCAUAGUUAGGAGGGCAAAAGUUAGUAGCAGUAAUAAAAAUGGAAGGGUUGCCUGGGUGGCACCAUCUUGGGUCAUCCGUGCACUUGAUCUCAAAGCAAGCUCCGCAGCUUAGCCCAUUGUUGAAAAUGGCUGUGCUUAAUGCUGCAGUGUUCACGCCAUACCCUUGGCUGUACAGAUUCCCAUACCCACAUGCACCGCCUUAACAAACAAAAAAGGGAAACAAUUGAAGACAUUUUAAUGGACAUGAAGAAAAUAAUGCAAUGCAAUAAAAUAAAAAAAAGAAGACGAAACAGAGAUUUUGUUGGAAAAUGCAUGUUAACAAAAUGGGUUAUUUUUUUACCGCUUUGCACUAGAAGUAAAACAAAAUAUUAAAUGUUAUAAGAUUAAUAGAAAGAAAGAAAUACCCAUAGUUCCAGAAGCAUCACUGCCACCAUAAAAAGUAGCAUGGGCAGAUUCCCAAGAGCCACCAGUAUAAACUCCAGGGAUUCUUGCAUUCACCAUGCCAAAAAGGCACAUCAAUGAAGCAAAGCAUAGCAGUGUCAAGGAAGAAGAAGAAGCGUCAACAGCCAUUGUUUUAUUUAAAGAGGAAAUUAUGAGAUAAAAGAAAGAAAGGGUGAUUCGUUAACUUUGGGGCGAAUGGAAAGCGGGAAGAAAGUUGGGGGGGGGUACUUAUUGAGGAACCGGAAGAGUGAAGAGUGGGGGCCCACAAUAAAUGAAUGCAGUCCAUUUCUCAUUAACCCCAUUUUUCUGCAAUUAAAAUUCAAACCUCACAACUUUUAUUAUUACUAUUUAAGACAUGUUUGGUUUUGUUCCUAAGAUUCCGAAAUUUGAAGGCCAUGUGGCUCACACAUGGACAGUUCUUAAUUUUGUUUUAGUCAAAGAGUGGUGCAAAAAUUGAAGACCUAAUUACCAUAAUUGGAAUGCUUGCACAUGCAUCCUUCACGUAAGAUGGUACUAGAAAGUUUAAGCUUUUUGAUUUCACACAUAAAUCAGUUCUUUUUAGAAGAAUCUUUAAAAUAAGGUUUAAUUAUUCAGAUUGAAACUUUGAAAUGCAACACUCAUUUGCUUAUGGAGAAAAUAGCGGUGAAGGCUCAAGUAAAAAAGUCAAUAUCUCGGAUAGGUGUCUCAAAGGUGUUGUUUGAAGAGAUGUUUAAAUAGGUGUUUGAACAAAAAGUAAAUCAGUCCUAACAAGUUCAGAGACAUAUUAGGAGAAUGGAGAUAGUACAAGUGUGAAAUCAUAAAUUAAACAAAAAAAAAGUUAAACUAAUACCUAAUUAUGUAGGUGAUUCUUUUUUGUUCACACAACUAUAAAAAUUCUCAAUUUAAUCAUUAAAUUUUUUUCAAAAUUUGAUUUUUUAGUCUACUGUUAAAUGGGUAAUGAAAAUCUAAUAAUUUUUAGAUUUCUACGUGGGUAAGUAAAGUAGUUUAUUGUUUCCUCUUCACUUGACUUAGCCGUCGUCGCCCUACUCCGGUGGCUAUUCCUAUCCAUUUACUUCAUUUUAUUGAAGGAAAGUAAUUCCUCCCAUAUUGUCACAACAAAUAUGCAUUGGAAAGUAAGUAAUGAACCACAUAAUUAAACAUUUUCUAUUACUAUAUUGAUAAUACAAUUUCACAAAUAAAGUAGGUGGGACUUUAAAGAUGCUACCAAUUGAAUUCUAAACUUUCAAUUUCCAAUAUUAUAAAACAUUUAAUUGAUUCAUCAACAUUCACAAAAUUUAUAAGAAAUUACUGAAUUAUUUGAAAUAUAUGCAAACUAAUAUAUAUUAAAGUAUUGAAAAUUGGCACUAGAAGAUAAACAGAGGGGUUAUUUGCAGCAUAAACCCCUUCGUAUUAUUUAUUUUUAUAAGGCUUUCUACUUUCUUUUAUUUACUAAUCUAGCCCUUUCAAUUUUAUAGUUAUUCUUAAUUCAAAAAUGACUUAAUAAUAUUAUUUACAUUAAUCAGUAUAUAUUUUCACUUAAUUAUGAAACAAAAUUGUCUUGUUUUUUCUCUGUUAUUUAUAAAAGGUUAAUUUUAUGACUGAUUAAUUAAUUGAAUUUUUUUAAUUAUAUUUAAAUAUUUAACUAAUAAAUAUUAAAAAUUAUAUUUUAAUUUUAAAUAAAUAUACAUAAUGCUCAAUAAAUAUUAAAAAUUAUAUUAGAAUAAAUAAUAAGGGUGCGUUUGGUUCAUCAAAUCCUAGAUUACGUUUAAUAAUAAAAUUACAAGAAUGUAAGAUUAUGUGUGCAAUAUAAGAUUAUAUUGUUUAGUUUAUUUAAUUGAAACAUAAGAUCCAUGUGUUUGGUUAAUAAAAUAUAAAAUUACCUAAAAAUAAAUUUUAUUGUCCCUAUUAUAAAAUUUUUACUUUUAUAAGCUUAACAUUUUUUAGCCUUAAAUUUUUUAUAAAAUUAUAAUAACUUAAGAAAUUUGUUUGCAUUACACCUUGAUUUUUUUUAUAUGAACCCAAUUUAACAAUGCUCUAAAGAACUUGGCUUGCUUUUAAUAUGAAAAGUGAGGUCAUUAGCAUCCAAGUUUUAUGUUCAAUUUAAUGACUUCCCAACAAGUAUAAAAAGAUUGAGCUUUUUUUUUUUUUUUUUAACAAUGUGCCUCUCUUUUUUAAUUUGUUAAUUUUUGUGGCAAUUUAGAUUUUGUUUGAUAAUAUAAGUUAUUAGUACUUAUUUUUAGAAUUUUUUUGUAAGAUAAGAAAAGAUAGAGGAUUUUAUUUUCAAAAAAUAGGACCAUAUAAAAAAAAUCUAGUUAAUUUAAUAAUUUCAUAAAAGAAAUAAAUUCAAGUUAUUAGUUUAACAUGAAACACCAAAAUGUGAGAGUACAGGAUGGACGGAAUGUUGAGAAUCCAAACACUACAAUCUCAUUUCAAAAUGUAACAUUAUGUGUCGCAAUGUAAAAUUCAGUCAACCAAAUGUUAAUAUCAUUUUAACAUUAUUCUAUUAAAAUUAAAUACUUACAUGACCUUAUUCAAAAUUGUGCAUUUAUAAUAACACAAAAAUAAAUUAAAUGUUAUUAUAAAACAUUUUAUAAUCCAUAAAUGAACAACAUUUAGCAUUUGUUAAUGCCCAUUUAAAAAUUUUACUAUGAAAGUUUAUUAAUUUUAAAUUAAUAUAUAAUAUUAUUAAAUAAUGAACUUUUGUUUUCUCUUUUAAAAAUUAAAAAUAAAAUGAUAAUUCAAACUUAUUUUAAAUAUUUUAUUUUUAUUUUUAACUUAUAUUUUUGAUAAUUCAAAUUACAAAAAUUCAGAAAAAUAAAUAUUUAAUUAUUAUAUUUUUACUUUUUCAACAUGAAUUAAAUAUGAUAUAUUACAAUUUAUACAUAUAAGUAAGCCAAUGCAUUAUACCAAAUAACAAACUCCUUGAAUUCUCAACCAAAUCUACUCAUUCCAUGAAUUCUAUGGUUUUUAAUCUUUCAACCCUUUCAACUCCCAUUGAAAAUGGACUAAUGAAUUACAUAUGAUUCUAUUUAUGGAUUCAUUUUUGUAUAUUUAUAAUAAACUUUAUUAAAGUAGUGUUUGUAACUAAAUUUAGUUGUAAUUGUUUGUAAUUACAUAAGAGUCAUGUGUUUGGGUAACCAUUAUUAUUGGUGGAUUUCACUGAAUUUGGUGUAAUUAGAGCACCUAAUUACACAUUCGAAUUCUUAAAAGGAAGGUGAGAAUUGAAGUAAUUAUGCAAGUAAUUACACUCAAAUAUAAUUAUCCAAUGACUUUCCAAACACUUAUACAAGAUUUAACUUUAAAAAAAUUGCAUUUUAUACCAAUUGAAAUUAUUAGAAUUAUAUUAUAAGAUGAACACGUAUGAGUGUUUGGAAUGGUUAUGGCAAAAGAAUUUCUAAAGUUAUAUUAUAAAUCCUAAAAAAUUAUAUUAUAAAAUAAUUUCUAUGUAUUUUAUAAAGUUAUAACCAAAAUAAUUAUAUUUUUUAAAUCCUAAAAAAAUUCUAAAGUUCUGACCAAAAUGUUUAUUAUAAAAAAUAAUUUACAUGUUAUAAAAGUGUUACAAAAAAUGUUAUAAUAUACUUAUUUAUAAAAAUUUAUGACAAAAAAGUAUGGAUGCAACUUAUUUACAUGUCUAUGCCAUAUAUGAUAAAAAAUAGUUAUUUAUAAAAAAAAAUGCUAUAAUUUUUCGUCAUAAUAUUUAUACAAGUGUUGUGAAAAUUAUUGGACAUUUUAUAAAACUUUUUAUAUAUUAUAAAUUUUAUAUAAUGUUUUACAUAAUUUAUGUCUUACAAAAAGGGUUAUAACCUAAGUUUUUCUCCAAAUUAAAUUUAUAUAAGUUUUUAUAAACAAAACUACAAACAAUUUGCACAAUGAAUCUAAAUAUUAUGCGGUAGAUGGCAUGCAAAUACAAAAGGGUUUUGUAUCAUAUAAUGGGUAUGAUAUCAUUUGAGAUAAUGGUGACAAACAAAAGCAAGAGAAACAACUUAUGAACUCUUUAAUUCGAGACAUUUAAAGUUGUGAAAUGUGAUUCAGAGGAUAUUUGUUGUUCUAAAAAAAGAUUUACUAUAUUAACAUCACUUCAAUAUAGGAUAAAAAAAAAACAAGGUUGGAUCAUACUACUAUGUUGCAUAGUUCAUAACUUCAUUUAUAGGUGUAAUUGGGAUAAUUUAUACUUUGAAAAGUAAAUGGGAAAAGAAGAUAUUGAUAAUAUUAAUUAUACAAAUUCAGAUGAUGAAGAACUCGAUCAAAGAUCAAUAAAUGAUAAUAAGGAGCAUAUGUUAAAUGUUAAACAAGAAAUAACCUGAAAAAUAUAGAACGCUUGUGCAAUUAGAUUAAAAUAUUUAUUUUUCUUGUUAUUUUUAUUAGUAAUCAUAUUAUGGACUAACAUAUGCAUAUUAUGAUUUGAUUUUAAUUAUUGUUAACCAUUUAGAACUUUUAUAGUAAGUAAUAUUUAAAUAAUAUAUAAAUUAUGUAAUUACAAUUUGUACUACUAAAUAUGUCAUAAGAAAUUUAAUAUAAUUAUACUCUAUCAAUCAAACAUGCUUUCGUCCAAUUACUUUAUACUAUCCAAACAAAAAUGAUAAUAAUGUUUUUUUCCAGUCUUUUUUUAGAAAGGCAUAAUGAUAAAACAACCCUUACGUUUACUUUUGGGAAAAUUAGCCAUUAUUCUUUCUUUUUAGUAAUUUUCAACAUCAAAUGAAAUUACUUGUAACGAUACAUGAUUAUAUGGAAAUAUUUAAUUGACGUGGCUGAAAUGAUGUGGUUAAAAAUUGUAUAAGCUAAUAACUAAACGCAAAAAGCCUUCAACAUCCCUCUCCUCAUUUCAAAGAAAAAUUGCUAAUUCCAAUCAAUUUGAGAAAUAAAAACAAACUGCUGAUUGAUUUGAAAAGUAAACCAAAUCUCCUCAUCUUUCACUUACACUUAUUUUAUUUAUUCUUAUGUUUUGGUUGUUGAGCUUCUAAAACUUAUUGUUUGUAAUUGUUGUCGUACAUCAAACAAUACAAAAUACAAUAUUGGUGAAUAGAACACAACUUAGUCUUUUCUUAGUUUAAUUUUAAUCAACUAAUUGUCCAAACAAUUCACCGAUACUUUAUGUAUAGAAGUAUCUAAAUUCUAUUGUAUUCGUCAAAUCUGAAUAUUUACACACUAUGUGUAGAGGUUAUCUGGAGUCAAAAUUGUUCGCCAAACCUGGGCUUCCUCAUGAUACGUAGCAUGUAUAUUUGGGAUGAUUGGGAAUGUUUCAUCCAUCAGAAUGAGUUGUGGUUUGAUAUGAUUUUAGAUAUGAUCUGACUAGUAUCCUGAUAUCUGCCAAAUUGAGUAUGUGAAUCCAUCAAAAGUUUGAUCCGUUCGAAGUUCACCUUAAAAGAUCAAUUAGUAUAAGUACCCGUCAAGAAUAAUAUCAAAAAGUACACCAUCCUGAUUGAAAUGUUCAACAUCUAUCUAUGUGAAAAAUCCAUCGAAAGUAGAUUAUGUACGAAUAUCUUUUUGAGAAAUGCAUUCGUUUUCUAAAAAGGAAAUAAGAACCGCAUUGAACGGUUGAUGUAGUUGUAAACCAACAUCUGACUAAGACAAGUGCACCUUUCAAUUAAUAGUAUAGCUACAGUGAGCAAAGAUAUCAUUCCCACGAAGACUAAAAGUGUUAGUAAUUACCGUCUUUCUAUUAUUUAAUCGAUAAAUUUGAGUGACUAAUUAAAACUAAAAUUAACUAAUUUAAUUAACUAACGAACACGACAAAGAACAAAUCAAGAAAAUAAUUGAGUAAAAAACCAAGAAGCGAAACAAUACCCAGGAAAGAAUUCAUCUAGAUUUCAUCUGUCAUUAUCAAUCUAAAUUACGUAAUUUCUUCACUUAGUAUCUUGAUUCAUAGAAAUCUCUAAAUUAUGAUAAUAUCUCUAUUCAAGAAUAAGAACAACUGACUCUAGGUUGAUUAAUUGAAAAUUUUCUCUAAUUAAAACCCUUAUUAUCGCAUUAACUAGAUCUAAGGUUUCCCCUACUAGAUUUGACUCUAAUCUGGUAGAUUUAUGUCGUCCUAUGUCUAGAAUUGCAUGCAACUCCACUCAAUUACACUAGAUCUACUCUUAAACAGGGUCUAUUUUUCCUCUGAUUUAAGUAGAUCAAACAUGGAUCAAUAGUUUAGAAAUAUUAAACCAAGAAUUAAACACACAUAAUUGAAAACAAGAUCUAAGUCUAUAUUGUGUAAAAUAAAUAUUAAAAGACAAAAUUCAUUAAAGGGUCCAUCUCCCUUAGGUAUUUAGAAAAUUAGUUCAUGCUUGCAAAUAAAAAAUCCAAAAUACAGUAUAACCAUAAGAAACAAAGAAACUCAUAAUAAUCUCCAAAGAAAUCAAAAGGGAAUAUUUAAUUUUGAUGGAAAUCUGCUUUAGAAUCCGUUUUAAUGAUGUUUUUCGAGUUGUUUUCUUGAAUAUUCUAUGACAGCUCACUUCUAUCUUCUUAUAUUUGUCAUAUAUAGGACUUAGAAUGCUCGAAAAACCUAAAACUUUUGUUUCCCAUAGUUCAAAGUUCAAAUUUGUGAAAUUGGCACAGCUUGCCACAUGGCCGUGUGGUUGCCCGUAUGCCACAGCUUGCUCAAAUUUUCUGGUUUUCACUUGUUUCUCACUCUUUUUGCUCCCAAAUACUCUCCUAAGUAUAAAAAUAUGAAUUUAAAGGAUUAGGAGCACAAAAUUCACUAUUAACAUCAAAUAAUCACCCCAAAAAGCAUUAAGAAUGAAACUAAAAUAUGUUACUUUUAGCAGCUAUCAAAUAUUCUUACACUUAAGCGCUUGUUUAUCCUCAAGCAAAAUCCUCAACCCACAUUCAAGUUAACUUCCAUCAAUUUAUUGUUUUCACCAAUAAUGUCUUAGGAUAAUUUACAGAUAAUUAUGAAUUGGAAAUUCACACUAAAAUGACACUAAACAGUACAAGCAAUCUAAGCAGAGAAUUUAAAGCUUUAAAAAUAUUAGGCAUCUCCCCUAUCUAAAAAAUUACUUGAAAUUCAAACUCAACAAGAAAUAACAUUCUUACUAAAGAUUCUCUCAAAGCACUCAAAGUGUUUAAAGUUCAAAUAAUGUGCACUCAACAAUCAAACGAGAAAUGUUAUUACCAUAGGCUUACUCAAAAGUUAAAUCUGCACCACUAUAAAUGAGAUGACAUACCAAUCAAAAGGUCUUUACAAGAUUGUAAUGGAGCUUAGGUCAAGGGUAUGGAAAAUGUCAAAAAAGUUGGUUAAAAUCUAAGGCAAGUUGAUAAGUUACCAAAUUAGAAAAAAAAAUCAAAUGCUGAAUUAAAGGUAUUUACAUCAACAAGAAAUAAAGAAUAAAAAUGAGUUGUUCAACACAAUAUGAAACUAACUAUUCAAGCUCAAUCAUGGAUUCCCCUAUUAGAUUUGACUUUAAUUUGGUAGAUUUAUGUCUUCCUAUUUCUAGGAUUACAUGCAACUCCACUCAAUUAUGCUAGAUCUACUCUUAAACAAUGUCUAUUCCUCCUCUGAUUUAAGCACAUCAAAUAUGGAUCAAUAGUCUAAAAAUACUAAACCAAGAAUUAAGCACACAUAAUUAAGAAUAAGAUCUAAGUCUUUAUUGCAUAAAAUAAAAAUCAAAAGACAAAAUUCAUCAUAGAGUUCAUCUAUCCUAGGUAUUUAGAAAAUUAGUUCAUGCUUGCAAUUAAAAACAUCCAAAAUACAGUAUAACCACAAGAAACAAAGAAAAUCAUAAUAAUCUCUGAAGAAACAAAAAGGGAAUCUUCAAUCUUUAUGGAAAUCUGCUUAAGAAUCCACUUCAAUGGUGUUUUUUGAGUUUUUUUCUUGAAUAUUCUAUUACGGCUCACUCUCAUCUUCUCAUUUUGUCAUAUAUAAGUGCUAGAAUGCUAAAAAAAACUUAAAAAUUGAGUUUCCUCGCAAUUUAGAGUCCAAAUUUUUGAAAUUGACAUGACCUACCACAUGGUUGUGUGGCAGCCCUUGUGGUUGACAUGGCUGUGUGGAUAGGCAGUAUGGAAGGGGUCAGCCCAUGUGGCCAUUGUACCUUACUCAAAUUUGCUGGUUUUCACUCGCUUUGCGCUCUUUUUGCUCCCAAAAGCUCUCCUAAGUAUAAAAACAUGAAUUUAAAGGAUUAAGAGCAUAAAAUUCAUCAUUAACAUCGAAUAAUCACCCAAAAACGCAUUGAGAAUGAAACUAAAACAUGUUACUUUUAGCAUCUAUUAGUGGUAAUAUCUAAAAUCUGCCUAAUGAGUGAAUUGUGUGUAGGUUGGUCAAGUAUGAAAAUUGGCGUAAAUAUAUACGUCGAUAUUAGAAAAAUACCCGCCAAAGACUGAAAAGAAAUCCAAAAUCUUCGAGUGUGGAGUUCAACAACAAACGCUUCAAGGUAACUUAGGUUAAAAUUCGCUAAGUUUGUUUGAACUUACAAGUAUCUGUUUAUGAUGCAAGUUCUGUUUAAUGAGUUGGUAUGUCAGGAGGGACCAAGUCAGGAAUGUGCCAAGGUGACAGUUGAAGUUGCAAUAUUAUGCAUACAGGGGCACCAUAGUAAUAUCACGCUUAGUUCUCUACAUCAAAGUUUUAAGUUGUAACGUCAUAUGUUGCUUUUGAAAAUUUGGUGUAAUUAUUAAACAUUCUCUUUUAUUAAUCCUUUGUUUUUAGACAGUAAAUAAAUGAAUAAUAAGUAUGUUUUAGAAUGAUUUUGUGCUUGUUGUAAAAAUUAUGCUAAGUGUUUAAGUUUUGUAACAUUUAAUAUCCAGAUCUAGUAUUUUAGGGUGGGAUAUAGGGCGUUAUAGUUGAAUUGUCUUAUUUAACUUUUCCUAAUAAAAAAAUGUUAUAAAAUCAUGUACAAUUAAUGUAAUUGUGUAAAAAUAGGGUGAAAGAAAUCAAAUCAUUUAAAAAUUAAUCAAAAUCAGAAGGAAAACAUAAAAGGAAGAAGUGAACUUAUCUUGGGUCAUUAGCGGUUUAUAGAGCUUUGACCAUCACUUUGCGAAUCCUAACGAUGAAGAAAUAGCCACCAUUGAGAAAAGUAACAUAUCUCAAAAUUAGACCAAUCUAACGACCGAUGAGAAAGAUUCAAGUUCGAGAAGCUUGGAAGUUUCUUGGAAUAUUUGAAAAUUUCUAGUGAUUUUUCAAGAAAAGCAUUUAGAGAAAAGAAGAGAAGAGGUUUCAUGCUUUGCUUUGGGUGCUUUUGGACGAUGUUUUAUCAUCAGAGUGAAGUGACAAUAAUACAACAAGAUGAUAGGGCUAAGGUUGAAGGGAAAAAGAGAAGGAAAAUGAGAAACAAUAGUGAGAAGAGAAGAGUGCACCUGUUGUCAAGAAAAUGAUCGGUGACGACACGAGAGAAGUGGCGACCGCAACAUUGGAAAAGCGACGACGAUAGUAGAGGUGGCUAGGGUGUCUAUGGAGAAGAAAAAGAGAAAAGAAGAUAAAAAAAUAAGGAAAAUAAAAGAGAUAAAAGGGAAAAUAAAAAAAUAAAAAAAUAUUUAAAAACAUAAAAGCCACAUGGAUUUAUUGUGUUAAAAAAUUCCCACACAGAUGCCACAUCAUAUUUUAGUAUUUCUAAUGAAAGUAUAUCAAAUUGACAAAACAUUAUUAUUUAAGGGCUAAAAGAAAUAAAAAAAGAAAAAAAAAGUAAAGGGCUAAUUUAAUUUUUUAGAGAAAGAUUGAGGGUGAAAAAUGUCAUUAUGCGUCUCCUUUUUUCUUCUUCUUUCAUUUGUUUGUUAUAUAAUUUGUUACUUUCUGUUAUUUAUUAAUUCCUCUACUUAAAUCUUAAAGUUGCUAACUUUGCAUUAGGUAAAGUCUAAAGUUGAGUAAUUUGAAAAAUUAAAAUUUUUAUUAUUUAUUACUAUAAAUGGUAAGAAAAUAGUAAUUUUAUAUAUUUUUAAACAUAUUUAUGUACCAGUUGGUGUAUAAUGUUUUUGACAAGUACAAUUAGAAUUAGACGAAACUAGUUAAUGCAAUUGAUAUUGAUUAAAAUUUUUAUUGAUGUGAAAAAAAAAACUGAAUAUUCCAUAAUAUGUGACUGAAACAACACUAAUUUAAAAGAUACAUAUAUCUUUUUUAAGUACAUUAGAAAUAAAAUAUUAAAUAAGAUAAGUGGCAGAAUUUUGUUUUUAAUUAUGAAUAAAAAUUCUUACUGAAUGAUUGACAAAAAAAUAAAUAAAUAAAGUUAAAAAAAUACCAUGUGCCCUUUCCCCUGUUCUAAAAGCUGUGCCCCAAAAACCCAUUUUCAUCAUUGAAGAAAAUCUUGAAAAAAACCAAAAAAAGAAAAAAAAAUCCAAUAUCCAACCCUCUCACAUGUGAAUCAAAUUAUCGUUUUGGUUGCUUCUUUUUCUCUCCAAACUUUUCCCAUCUCAUAUGUCUAAGACUAGUAUAUUUAUAACCCACCCCCAUGUGCCCUCACUUAUUGCUUUAUAUACAAAAUACAUCUUCAGUUUUCCGAUUUAUUUUUAUUUGUAUUAUCAUGAUGUAUUUUUUAUAAAAUUUUUACUGGAUUAAUAUUUAUUUCACAAACAGUGUCUUAUUUUUAAAAAUAAUAUUUUAUUAUUCUUUUAUACAACACCUUGAAAACUGGGGUCAUAAUUUGUAUAUAUUAUUCAUUCCUAAUAAUAUAUAUAUAUAUUCUUUAUCUUAUCUUGUCUUGUUUUCAAAUAAUAUUAUAUUCUCUUCUGGAUUUAAUUUCACUUGUCUUUUCUUGAAUGCUAUUUUGUUGGAUUUGAAAUUUGAUGGCUUAUCUUGAAAUGGAAGUUUUCAUUCAUCUAUGGCAAAACUAAAAAAGGAAAAAGAAAAACAGACAAAAAUGUCUCUUACAAGGUGAUGUGAAGAGACAUUUACUAUAAUGUGAAUAAGUUACACCCUUUCAAUAAAAUAAGUUUUUUAAUCUGAUUAUAUUAUUCAUCACAUUUUGAUGAUCCAUUAUACCAACACUUGUAUGAUUCGGUUGGCGAUAUAUAUGGGAAUUUGAAAUGGGUGUGAUUUUCUUUAAUUAAAAAGGGGGAGGAGGUUGAGGGGGGUCCGACCAACCACAUCUAAGUAAAUCUGCCACAUCAGCAUCAUAUUGAAGGUUUCCAAGUGCUUCUUCAUCUCCCUCACCAACACAUUACCAAUCCGGCUUCGCUGCUCAUGCAUGCAUGCAUAGCCCAUAUCUUCUCAUAUAUUAUCUAUAUUAAAAACCAAUAAAAAUAGGAAUUUAAAACAUUCCAUUUAUCAUUCAUCCAAAAUUUAAAUUCCAUUUAUCUCUUUUAAUUGUAUAUAUUAAUAAUGUUAUUAAUUAAGUUAUUGUCACAAAUUAACUUGACACUAAUUUAUAAUUGAUAACAACACUAUGAUAAAUAAUUACGGUACAUUUAGUACUGUCAAUCUGAUAUAUUUAUGCAUUUAAAUUUUAUUUACUCACAAUUUAAUCUAUUUUUUUAUUAUUUUAAUAUCAUACAUAUUUUAUUUAUUAUUUAUGAUUAAUUAAUUACAAACUAUACAUUUUAUUAUUUAUUACUUAUUCUAAAUUUGUGACUACCACGUACAUACAAAAGUGAUAAGUUUUAUGUAGCUGAAUAACCAAAAUUACAUAUAAAGUUUUUAUGAUGAAAGUAAAUGCAUAGGGAUUACACAAGCUUAAUCACUUUUUUAGUGGCUACAAAAUGCAUGAUAGAAGUGAAAUUUAAGUUAAAUGGAGGGGGUUUGACCUUUUGCAUAUGAUUAAGAUGAGUAAUCAAGUCUUUGGAAACAAUGAUAGCAAAGUCUUCUCAUUAAUACAUACUUAUUAAACACCUUUCACCCUUCAAAAAUUCAAAAACCUUUGAAAAUAAUGUACCCCAAUAUUAUUCUAAACAAUAAACAAUGUAAAUAAAACACAAUAUUGAUUGAAAAAGUAGCAACAUGCAAUUUUUUCUCUCUAAAUUAUAUAAAUGUAAUUCCUUGAUUCCUAAUAAUUUUCUAAACUAUGUAUCUUACUUGGGUAGUUAUAUUAUAUUUCCCUUUCCAAUGCAUUAAAACUUAAACAUAUAUCCCUCUAUAUAUAAUUUUGUUAUAUAUUUGAUUAAAAAAAACAUAUAAUUCUUAUCUCCUUUUUUAAUCUUUCAAAUUUAAAUCAUCAUAUUUUUCAAAAAAACUGAUAAGUCAAUCCAAUUAGUAAUGCUAUUGAACCUUACUAUUAAAUUGUUGAUCUAAGAAAUAGCAUAUCAUCAAUUUAUAUGCAAUGAAUUACCAAAAAUCAAUAUUUCAACAAUUUAUAUACAAUAAACUAACAAAGUCAACCAUUAAAGUUUAUGUAUUUACUAAAAACUAAAUUAACUUCUCAAUUAUCUUAAAAUACAAUGAUCAAAUUCUAAUAAAUUAAGUUAAAAUAUUAUUUUUUGAAUUUUUGUAAAAUAAAGGGAUGAGAAUUAUAAUAAAAAAAACCCCAUUGAAACUGAUGUAACCUAAAAUUAAAUAUAAUUUGAUUCACAACUUAAUAAUCUUACAUAACAAUAAUAAUUAAAAUACAAACAAAUUAUGCAACGAAUCAAAUAAACUUAAUUAACAAAUCAUGAUCAAGACAAUAUGCAAAAAUUACGGUAAUUAAAGGUUAUGUUUUAUAUUUGAAAUUCAGAAUUAGGAGAGUGUUGUUCUUGUCAUCUUUUUAUUGUGUGGUCAUGUGAAUAAAUAGUGAAUAAUAUGUAAUAUUGUAAAAAUUGAACCAUUAGUUAAACUAAUUAGACCACUGAUUUUCGGUUCAAUUGUUUGACCACCAAUCAUAAAAAAAUAAAAAAAUCUUAAAAAUACACAAAGAAAAUUAGAAAAAAAAAACACAAAUAAAUAAUAAUAGAACAAUAAACAUUCAUUUUAUAAAUUAUAACAACAAAAUUAAAUAUUUAAACUAGCUUUAACCCAAUUCAACGGGUUUUUAAUCGAUCAGUUCGAUUUUUGCAGUUCAACCGAUUUUAUUGAUUUUAUGGUAUGAAAUGUGACGGUGACUUUCUAGGCCUACAACCCAAGUGCAUGUUAUAUUCAAGUAAUAAAAUCUUGGGAGUUUGAGGUCAAUUCACAAAGAAGUUGAUUAGACCUAAUUACAAGAUUACAAGUAUUAUGCUAGAACAAAAAUUUAACACUUAAUUUUGGAAUAAGCAUUGGUGAUGAAAGUAGUAGCUAGAAACACUAGAAAUAAAAAGUCAAUGCAAGAAAUUAACUACAAAUAAUAAAAAGCAAAUACCUGGAAGAAAAUAUGUUGAGGUUAAAUGCUCAACUCUUGGUGUCAUAUUAAGAUUGAAUUUUAAUACUCAAUGUUAUUAAAUUAGAAUCCACACAUAAAUGGAGGUCCUAAAUGGAUGAUCUAGUAAUGUACGCCCACUAAUUAAGCAUAUGAAUCCAUGAGCUAAGGUAUGUCCAUCAAUGGAGUGUCCAAAAUGAUUGUCCAAUAAGUUUAAGAGUUUAGCAAAUGAAUCCAUAAGCAAAGGAUGGUGCCAUAUGACAGUUCAACUGUUUAAGUCCAGUCGAACCAUAUGGUAUUUGUAACGCCUCAAAUUUUGAACAUUUGUUUGAUAAAUUAUGUCAAUAAUUAAGUCUCUAUAUUUGUGGUUAAGUGUUUUGCUUAUGUGUUUGAGAUUGAGGGUUCGAGCAUUCUUUUUUGAAUUUUACUGUUUAUUUUGGUUUAACCCCUAUCCUUGAACUCUCGACUUAAGUUUAAUUAUGUGUGAUUCUGUGACAAUAAUGAGUCUGCUGGUUCAUAGUUAAGCUUCUGUAUAUCUUUUGGUCCUAUGUUUGGGUCUCUGCAUAUGAAAUAAGGAUAUAUGUUUUUAUACUACUCUGUAAAAAUUAUGUUAUUUUAAAUUUUAUUUAAAUGGUUUCUUUCUCUCUUUUCUUUUCUUUUUAUAUUUUCCCCUUUUGUUUGUUCUUGUCAUUCUUUUUCUUCUUCGGUUUUAUAUUUUUUUCUUUUUCCUUAUUUCUUUUUGUUAAUUAUUGCUAUCGUUCUGUUAGGGGAAGUACGCAUCUCAUUGUUUCGAUAAACGGUUAAUCGUGUAAGUUGUCAUUGAAUUUCUGUUAAUGUUCAGUCUUGUAGGUUUUUGCCAAAAAAAUUGGUUCUUGCUUGUUCGUUCGAUUUUUCUUGUUUUAAGUUUCGAUUGGCUUUCUUUUAGGUAAGGAUCUUGACGGUAACGUCCCUUCAAUGAGUUAGUCCCGUGUGUUGCUAUUAUGUACGAGGGUGAAUGCCUAAUUUUCGAGUUGGGUUUUGCGUCGAAGUUUUCAACGUAAAUUGGUUUGAAUGUCAACUUAGUGCUUUAGCUUAAUUUAAUCAAGUAAUUGGACAAUUGGUUGUCGUUUUUAGGUUUUGGGAUCACCUCUAUUGCUUCUACGUCAAACCCGUACCAAGUGUGUAACAAAAACCUGAAAUCUUACGAACGAUAGAGGCUAAAAAACAUGGCUGUCAAUGCCACACGACUAUGUGUCAGGCCUUAUGGUAGGCCGUGUGAGCAACACAGUUGUGUGUCAAGCUAUGUGGUAGGUCAUGUAACUCAUUGUUUUAUAAUUAGAGGCACACGGGCUAGAUGUAACGACCCGAAAUUCAGUGAUAUUGGCAAGUGUAUUUUCGAGACUCCAUUUCCAUAAAUGGGGCUCGUAAAUGUUUUUAUUAAAUAAUUACGGAGUUUCCUUAGAGACGAAUUGAAUGUUAGAUAAUUUUAUUGAAUUAGUGUUCAAUUUAGGUUUAAGGACUAAAUUAUUUAAGUGAUAGAAAUACGGAUUGAUAUUAAAUUAUAAGAUGGAAUUUAAUUUAGGGGUUUAUAAAGUAAUUAAGCCGUUAUAUUUAUGUUUCAAUAGUGGCCGGUUAUGGCUUAUAAAUUAUAGGUAUUAUAUAUAUUAUGUAUAAGAUAAAAAUUUAAGUUAAAAUUGUGGUUAAAAUAGUUAUAUAAUAAAUAAAACUUAAUUAAUUAAUAAAAUAAAGUGGGAAAAAAACAAAAGACAUUUGAUAUUUUCUUUCAUGCAAAACCAAAAAGAAGGAGAAGAGAUUAAGGGAUAAUGGCUUUGGGGCUUUAAAUCGGUUAGUAUAUUUUGGUCCUUAUUGCAUAAAUUUUAUGUUUUUGGAACCUAAGAUCUUGAGUUAGCUUACCCAUGUUAAAAUUUUUAGAAUUUUUGAGGUUUAUAGAAGUUGCUAUUAAUGAGAAAUUGAAGUUCUUAAUGUUAUUUUGAUAAAUUUUAAGGGUAAAAGUGAAAUAGGAUUAUUUUGUAAAGUUAAUUGAUAAUUUUGUACAAUAAGGACUAAGUUGUGCAAAAUUCAAAUUUAAGGGUUUAAGUAAUAAGUAGGAAGUCCCAUAGGGACUCUAGAAAAAUUUGGUCUAAUGUUGGGAGGCUUUAUGAUAAAAUAUGUUAGUAUCGGUUUCGAGGAUUAAAUUGAAAUUUAUGUUAAAUUAGUAUAAAUUUUAUAAUUAAAUAUGAAUUGGUAUAUAAAAUGUUAAUUUAUUAUAUUUGUUUAAUCCGUAGCUAACAUUGAACUAGAAUCCUCGAGUAAGAAAGGAAAAAGGCAAGGUUGUCGGCGAGUAGUUCAAAAAUUACGGUGUGUGUUUCUAUAAUCUAAAUUAUUUAAAUUGUUGUAUUGAGCAUUAGCAUUAAAUAAUGAGUUAAGGUAAGUUACAAAAUUGGUUUAAUGUGAUAUGUUUGAAAUGGUUGAACUAGUUACUUGUGAUUAGGAUUUUAUUGAGUAUUAUUGAAAUUGAAAUUGAAGUUGAUUAUGUUAUGGAAAGAAAUGAUGUUGCUAUGAGCAUAUAUUCAAAUGAUUGAAUUAUUUGGAUUGAUGAAAUUGUAUUGUGAAAUUGGGAAGUUGAUUUAUGAAUUAAAUUGAGAAUUUCGUUACCCUAUUAACUGUUUGGGUAAGGUCAAUUAUGUAACACCCCUCACCCGUAUUCACCGUCAGAAUAGGGUUAUGAGGUAUUACCAAUCAAUACACAUCAUUUAACAUUCAAUACGUAUACAUUUAUGCAUUCAUACUCAAAUACCAUUUAACACAAACACAUUGUCCCUUAUAAGAGCAUACGAGGCCUUAAACAUGAUUUAAAAAUAAUUCGGGACUAAACUGAUAACAUAUUAAAUUUUUGGAAAACUUAGAAAUUUUUCAUUCAAUCAGGGGUCACACGCCCGUGUGAACAGGCCAUGUGCCUCACACGGCUUCAGACACGUCUGUGUCACAGGUUGUGUGAAAACAGGGCAUACAUACUGACUUGGGUCACACUGCCGAUCACACGCCCGUGUGUCUAGCUCAUGUGCCUUUCGAAGUCGCCACACACGCCCGUAUGCCAGACCGUGUACUAGGUUGUGCCAAAACUGUAGGGUAUACUGACUUAUGCAACACGGCCAAGUUACACGCCCGUAUGCUAGGCCGUGUGCCAUUUAGGGGGUAUAUUGACUUGUGCCACAUGGCCAGUCACACGCCCGUGUGUGAGGCUGUGUGGAGCAUACUAACUUCAAUUUAAUUUACAUACCAGGGGACACACGGCUGUAUAGCAUGACUAUGUGUUGCACACGGCUGAGACACACGCUUGUGUCCCUGCCCAUGUGGACAAAAAUAGGCCAUUUGCAAGGCCAAUUUGCCACCCUUUUUUAUGAUCACCUAAACAACCAAAAUGGCACCAUUUCAUUAUACAAUAGGCGUUUCAAAAUCACCAACCAAAUGCACAAUUUAUAGUAUAUCCAUUUCAACCAAAUUUAAUACCCAAAUUAAUGUCAAUUACCUAUUCACACUUAUAUCAUCAAUCAUCAAUUCAUAAGCAUAAAACGUCUCAAAUUAUCAACUUCAAUCACACCAUGUAAAUCAUUUAUCAAACUCAAAAUAUAACCAUUUGAGCAAUUAUGAAAUCAUAACCACAUUUAUACCAAAACAUACUAAAAUAAGCCAUCACUCAUGGCUAUAUAUACAAAACAAAACAUAUACAUUUACAAGCCAAACCAUAGGGCUAUAUUCACAACAAAAGUACCAUAACUAGCCUAUACAUGCCAUAAACCAUAUAUACACAACUAAAAGUACCAAUUAGACAUUUGAUAGUGCGAUGAUGUUCCCGACGACUCCCGGAUCUGAGCUAGCCUUGAUUCUCUAUAAAACAUAAGAAAAUAAUACAAAGUAAGCUUCAUAGCUUAGUAAGUUCAUACUAAUAUACUCAACAAUUCAUCAAUUUAAACAAGUUAAUGUAUCAUUCAUGAUAAAAUCAAACCUUUCAUAACUUAUUCAUAUACUAAUAUGCAAAGUCAUAAUUUAUUUUAUUUGAUCUCCAUACUUACAUGUACAAACCUGUACAAAUUCAUAACGAACUCAUACCUUUCAAUAGCACUGUCGAAUACUCAAUAUUUCGCACACUAAGUGCCAUCGCAAAGCCGAAGCUAUUAUAAUUCUGCACACUAAGUGCCUUACUCGAUGUUUCAUACACUAAGUGCCGUAUAUAGCCGAAGUUAUCUCAAAUCGCGCACUAAGUGCUAAACAUUGUCAAUUUAUCGUCGAACAUGACCGUAGUCUCGUAUAUACAAAUUAUGAAAUAUCAAAGCGUUAAAAGCAUAACUGUAACAAUUUUUAUCAUGUGCAAACUUAUCUCGUAUUCGAAAUUAACGGAUCAGAUCGACUAUUCGAUAACCUUGCUUUUCCCCCAAUCUAAAUCCAAAUCCUUUCUUUCUUGAUCUAUAUGUAUUCAAAAUUAACUCAUUUAAUCAUCCAUUCACUCGAUUUAAUCCAAAACAUAUAUUUGGGAAUUUUUACACAUUAGCCCCUAAACUUUCACAUUUAUUCAAUUUAGUCUUUAUUUCACAAAUACACAAAAUUCACAAAAUUCAAAAAAAACCCAUGCUUGUCUGAAUUUCAUAUAUGUCCCUAGCAGCCCAAAACUUUCAUUUAUUUUACGUUUCAACCCCACAAUUUGCAUAUUUUACAAGUUAACCCUAUUUGACAUUUUUGUCAAAAAUCACAUUACAAAACAUGAAAAUCUAUCAUUAAACUUUCAUAAUCUAUCAUCAAACCUAAAAGAACACAUAGAUUCAAUAAUGAAAACUCUCAAAAUCUUUAACAGUUUCAAAAUCUAAGGUACGGGCUAGCUAGAAUACAAAGCAACGAUUUCAAAAACGUAGAAAUUAUUAAAAAUCGAGCUCAAAACACUUACCAAUUAAAGCUCACAAGUGCCAAACCUUAGAAAGCUUCAAUGGCUUCUCAAAACAUGUAAUUUUGGUGGUGGAAGAUGAUAUUAUGAAAAUAAUUUAUUUUUAUUUCAUUUAAUUUAAUUUAAUUUGACAAAUUACCAAAUUAUCCUUAAUAAUAAAACAUUUUUAUCAUCCAUUUAAUGUCCAAAUAUGUCCACUCACCAUUCAAAUGAUCUAAUACAAUAUAAGGACCUUAAAUUUAAUAAACCAUAGCUAUUUGUCACCUUUAACAAGUAGAAUGCAACUUUUGCAUUUUACGCGAUUUAGUCUUUUUUUCUUAAAUUAACGAACCAAUCGAUAAAAUUAGCUCACAAAAUUUUUAGACAUACAUACUAUCAUGCUGUAAACACCAAAAAUAAUAUUAAAAUAAUUUUCCAACAUCAGAUUUGUGAUUCCGAAACCACUGUUCUGAUUUAGCUAAAACCGGGUUGUUACAAGGUAUAAUUGGCAUGCCAUAGGAUAUGAAAAAUUUAGGGUUUAAGAUUACUUGUCAGAGAGUGUUGGGCACUCUAUUUUUCAGUUUUACUAGCCAACACAGGGCACAAUUUAUUUUUACAGAUUAUUUCGUCAGGCACUGGGAGCCAAAUUUGGUGUGUUGGUUGGAUCCGUGUAUCCGAGUCCGAAUCAUGAUAAUAAGGAAAAUAAAUAUAAAGUGAUGAAAUUGGAAAUGAAAGUAGAAAUAAAUAUGGAAAUAAAUUUUUUAUAUUUUAUAAUGAAUAUAUUAAUGGAAAUGUGAUGAUUCAUGAAAUUUCAUAUGCUUAAAUUGAAGCAAUGUAUGUUUCUUUGCAUUACUUGAGUUGCAUUUUAGAUAAGUAAUUAAAUAUCUUGUACCAUGUUUUAAUACUUUGAUUAUGGAAGCACCCUAUAACGCCCCAAAAUUUUAAGAAUUUAAUUAUGAGAUUCUGCAGUAAUUAGAAUUCUGUAUCUCUGGUUCUGUGUUUAAGAUCGAGUUCCGUUACUAAAAGUGUUGUUAUUUUAAAACAACCCUUAUCCAUGUGCUAGGUGGUUAAGUGCAAUUUCGGGUAAAUUAGUGUCAAGAAUGAGCCUAUUGGUUCACUGGUUAAGCAUCUGCCUAUAUUUUAUCUAGUUCUGAGUUCAAAUAUCGUUGUGCACAUUAGGAAAUAUAUUUUUGCAAAUGUUGGAAGGGGUGGUGGUUAACUUAAUUAUUCUAUCGUUCUUCUAUUUUUUUUCUUUCUUUAUUCUAAAAUUUUAGUUCUUUGUUUUUCUAUUCUUUCCUCUUUUAUUUUUCUUCUUUUGCCAAUUGAUUUUUAUUUGGAUUGGGAAGUCUUGUUGCCUAUGAGGUCGAUAAUGUGUAAUUUCCGUUGUGACUUCUUUUCAUUUGUGAUUUUCGUUGUGUUGACAUUGUUUUUUUUGUUGAAAUGGGAUUUUGCUUGUUUAUUUUAUGUUCUAUUAAGUGCUCGAUUUGUUACUUUGUUUAGGCAAGGAUAUUGCAAGAGACGUUAAUCCACCGUAUUAGUUUGAUUCCUCUUAUUUAGCAUGAGGUGAGUGUGGGGAUUGGAAUAGAACUACGUCAAAUCUUUCGACAUGAUUUUAGCGGUAGGUUAAUUUUGCUAAGUGUUGAAAUUGAUAGUGUAAUUGAUUGUGGAAUGAUUAAUUAGGUUCCGGGUAGUCGUCGUAUUGUUUAUUUAUCAAAGCGAAAUCAGGUGUGUAUCGGAAACUUAAAUUUUGCAAGUUUUGGAUCACCGGAAAUGGUGGCUGUCGAUGCCAUAUGGACGCGUGGUUGGUCAUGUGAUCAGUCAUGUAACUAACUGUUUACUGAAUUGGGGCCACACGGGCAAGGCACACGGGCAUGUGUCUAGGCCGUGUGUGGCCAUGUUAGUACAGGGUUCACACGGGCUAGGGACACGGACGAGUGCCCUGGCCGUGUAACUCACUAUUUACGAGACAAGACCAUACGGCCAACGACACAGGCGUGUGCCCAGCCAUUUAACUCAUUAUUUGUGGUAUAAAAACCACGCGGUAGGGACACAGGUGUAUACCCAGUUCGUGUGAGUGACACGGGCAAGGACACGGGCAUGUGUCUAGGUUGUGUAACUCACUGUUUAUGCUUUAGAGUCAUACAGGCAAGGCACACGGGCGUGUGACCAGACUGUCUGGCAUAUAGUUGAGGCCUGAAGCCUGAAUUUGAGGUUGAAAAUGUUACCUAACACUGAUACCGGCUUCUUUAAUGUAUGAAUGAUAGAAAUUGAUGAUAUUAGAACUGUCUGAUACUUUGAGAUUAAUUUGUGAAUAAUUUAGUUAUAAACAUACUAUAAUGCUUAUUCAGUUAUUGAGUUAUCUUAUUAGUUGUGAAAUGAACUGGAAUGAACGAAUACAUGAUACUGGUACUUGUGUUUUGCAUUUACAUGGGUUGAGAUUGUAGAGCCCAAUUUAGCCUGGGCCCAUAAACCAGAAACCUAAUAACAAAAAAUAUAAAGUCCACAAGUCCAUUUUACAAAGCCCAAAAUCCAAACUCAUUUACAAUAACCCAAUUCUAAACCCAACUAGCUUAGCCCAAAAAUUCAAAGCCCAAAUGGCCCAAAAUAUUUCAGAAACAAAAAUUGGGGUUUCCUUUGCACCGUAGCUGGCCUCCCAACCCUCGUAUAGCCUCCAGCGCGCCUUCGUACGGCCUUCCCGCACCACCACACGCCACGUCACUUCCUCCGUACGCCUCAGCUGGCCUUGUACUAGCUCAACAUACAAAAAUAGCAGCAGAGCACAAUAGCAGCAGAAGAAAAAGAGACAAAAAAUAUUGUAUUGUUUCUAUUUUCGAGUAUAAAGCCAUCUUUUCAAUUGUAUUAAGGGGGGAUAAAAUACGAGAGACAAACAAAAAGCAAUAAAAAACUAAGGUGAUUUCGGUGCCUCACACUUUCUCUUUUUCGAAUUUGCUUCAUCUUUCUUGAUUUUGCAUGUGAUUUCUUAGUAUAAUAAAAAUCAAAACGAAGACUUACUUUCGUGUAUGAGCCACUAGAAUUUAUCAUCUUCGUCGGCAUCGAAGUUUGAGAAGAUUUCAAGGCUAAAAUUGGCAAACCAAAGCGCUGGGUUCUGAACAAGGGGGAAAAGGGACAUCAUCGGAGAUCAUCAGUCAUCGUUUGUAGUGAUGAAAUGAUGGCUAAGCGGUGCAAAACAUUUAGGGUUGCCUUUUCCCUAUUGAUUCUGCCGAAAUGUUUAAGUUUUUAGAGACUUUAUCCUCUUUUAAUGGGUGACACGAAACGCUGCAGUCUAAGGCAUGUUUAAUAGGCCUAAGAUGACACCGCAUAAUCCCAUUCGACCCGAUCCAAUUCUUUGCCCCCAAGAUCAGCGGGUCUUUGCGGAGAGGGGACAAUUGCGCAAUCGGUCCUUCUUUUUCGCGCUACCAUUCAAUCACAUGUUAUUUGUUUAUUUCAUUUUUUUUAAUUUGGCUUGGCAAUUUGCACAUAUACACAAUUUAAUCCGCGC
rnacentral:lncRNA from 1 species